ACUACUCACAGUCACAGUCACCGCUUUUUGUAACCUUAGAAAUUUUGUUCAAAUCUGAUCAGCCUUCAAUGGCGGAUGAGGUGGUGUUGUUGGAUUUCUGGCCAAGCCCAUUUGGGAUAAGACUGAGGAUUGCUCUGGCUGAGAAGGGCAUUGUGUAUGAGUACAAAGAUGAGGACUUGUGGAACAAGAGCCCACUGUUGCUGCAGAUGAACCCGGUUCACAAGAAGAUCCGGGUUCUCAUUCACAAUGGAAAACCGGUCUCCGAGUCCCUCAUUGCUCUUCAGUACAUUGACGAAGUUUGGAAUCAUAAGGCUCCACUCUUGCCCUCUGACUCUUACCUCAGAGCCCAGGCCAGGUUCUGGGCUGACUUCGUCGACAAGAAGGUGAUUUUUACUCAUUAAUUUACUUAUUUGCUGUAUUUUUGUUUUGUUUUGAAUAUUUUUGGUUUGAAACAAUUGAAAACAUGGGAAAUAGAACAUCUGGUUAUAUUUUUUAUGUUUAAAUGUUGAGAGUAUCUAGCAUAAGUGCUUAAAACCUCACGCGUUGCUAAUUCAUUUUUGGUUAAAUGCUUACGGAUAUUUGAGCUGGUAAUUAAAACAAUGUUGUUUUAGAAUUUUAAGAUUAGAAGUGUUUAGGGUGUAACGGUUUUACCAUUUAGGAUUUGUAUUAGAAGGAAAGCUAAAUGGAAACUAGAUCUCUGUUUAUGUUUUCAAGGUUAAUAUUACGCUCGCUUUUAAAACAUAGUUAAUUAAGGUUUCAUGUUACAGUUUCGGGUUUAAGGUUUAAGGUUUGUGAUGUAUAUUUAAAAGGGGAGACUUUGGAUGCGGUCCCUAGUUAUGAACAAUCUUUGACUGAAACCUUAUUGGUUUUCAAUUUUUGAUCCAAGUCCCUGAAAUUAAUUGAUAAUUUAUUUCUAUGUACGUUACUAUAUUUUUUUAAUUAAAAAUUAAAAUUUAUAGUUGUUUAUAGUAAUGAGAUUUAAAUAAAAAAACCAUAAUUUGUGGGAUUAAAAAAAUAUAAAAAUAUAAAUAUACUAUUGUGUGUGUGUGUGUGUGUGUAAACAUGGGUACAUUCAUAAAAAUAACCAAAAAAUUAUUGUAUCAAAACAUGGAUACAUUCUUCAAAAUGGGUACAUUUAGCAAAAAAAAAAAAUGGGUACAAAUAAAUAAAAAAAUAUAUGGGUAUACAAUACAAAUAAAACUUUAAAAAAUAUGGGCACAAAAAGAAUUUAAUAUAUGGGUACAAAUUAAAACUGAAAGGAAAAUUGGUACAAAUUAAAAAAGGGUUGCAAAUUAAAAAUGGGUACAAACUAAAAAUAAAAAAUAUAUGAUAAAAAAAUUUAGCCAUAAGUAAAUAAAUACUAAUUGUAACAUUUUUAAUAUUAAAUGAAUAUAUUUAGAAAUAAAAAAUAUUUUAUUAUUGAAAUAAUUAAUGAUAUUAUUAAUACAAAGGACCUUGAUCAAAAAUUGAAAAGUAAUAAGGUUUUAAUCAAUAGAGUAGUAAAAAUAAGGAUGAAAACCUAAUUACUCCAUUUAAAAGAUAUCAGCGGAAGAUCUGAACUUGCUCAAAACAAUGUAUAUUAAUUUCCCUGAAUUUUUGGGGAUGUGAAAUGCAGAUGUAUGAGAUUGGGAGGAAGCUUUGGGCAACCAAAGGAGAAGAACAGGAUGCAGCAAAAAAAGAAUUUCUCGACUGCAUUGGCGUGUUAGAAAGAGAGCUUGGAGACAAGCCUUUCUUUGGGGGGAAUACCCUCGGAUUCGUGGACGUGACGCUUAUUCCGUACUAUAGCUGGUUUCUUGUGUAUGAAAAAUUUGGCAACUUUAGUGUUGAGGCAGAGCACCCAGAAUUUAUUGCCUGGGUUAAGAGGUGCAUGGAGAAGGAGAGCGUGUCCAAGUCGCUUCCCGAGCAGGAAAAGGUCUACGAUUACGCCAUGCUUAUAAGGAAAAAGCUUGGAAUUGCAUAGAUUUUGGUGGAAGCCUGCAAGAAGCUAGUGAUGAUCAGUGUCAUUCCAACUUGUUUGGUCGUGUGGUUGUUCUGUCUUUCAAGAUUCAACCCGUUUUGGGUUGAUGAAUUAGAAUAAAAGGGCACUUGACAAGCUUUGUACUGUAAGAGACACUUUAUUGUGCCUCUGGUCGUAUGUUUAUUUUACUUCUGUAGUCAACUUAUCACACGUGUCAACUUGUUAUGUAAGGGAUCUAAAUCUACUUGAUCAAGUUUCUUAUUUUGUAACCACUUCAUAUCCCACGAUGGAUUAUUGGUUGUCACCAAUUGUGUUUAAUUAUGUGUCUCUCUCUUAUCAGGUAACAAAGACCUAAAUUUAUUGGUCAAUUCUUGUUUCAUAACCGUACAGAAUCAACCAGUAAUAUCUUCUACAUAUACAUUUAUGUUACUGUAAUUUGAUUCAUAAAUCAUUUGUGUCAAUACAGUGCACACUUGGUCAACAAGUGACUUGUCCGUACCUAUAUGAACGUACUUCAUGAGAUCCCCGUGCACAUAAGUUUAAGUUUAUGCAUAAUUUGAUACAAUCUUGGGCAAUUAGCCACAAUAGACAUGUUGCGAUAUUUGGUUGCACUUUUGAUUACGCUCCCUAAAAAUUGCUCUUUUGAUGAAUUCUGCCUGUGAAAAGUUCAUAGUGCCCUUCAUUAAUCGAAAAGGGUACAACAAUACGACCCCCCUCCUCGCCUUUUGUGACGUUGAACCACCACUUAGACAACACCACAAUGAUGCCACAACUACACCCCAAUAAUUUAAAAAAAAAAAACAACCAAAAACUCAAUUUCGAAGAACCUGAUUUAACCAAAAAGGACUUACAUUUUAAUUUGAUUUAAACAAAAAGUCUCAGGAUUUUGAACAACCACUGCAACAACAAUAAUCUGAGAAGCUACAACGACACUACAACGAUACUCCCCAUUUUAUGAUUUUGAAACCAACAUAACCAUAACAACAAUCCAAUGACACCACAAUGAUGCUCCUCCUUUUAUGAAUUUGAACCAACAUAAUCACAACAACAAUCUAAUGACGUCCAAAUGAUACAUCCCCAUUUUUUUAUUUUGAACCACCUCAGCCGUAAUAAUUCAUUGAAGAACCCUCACCUUCUUCAUUCCCCAACCACCAAAACAAAAUUUCGAACCCAAAAAUCGAAUAUGAGCUAAGGCAAGAUGUGAGAGAGAGAGAGAGAGAGAGAGAGAGAGAGAGAGAGAGAGAGAAGAAUAAGAAGAAGAACGGAUCAGAGAGGUGGAGUAAUGAGAAACUGAGUCUUGUUGGGUGUUGUUGGUUUUUUCAUCAAUGAAGGGCAGUAUGGGCUUUUCACAUGCAAAAUUGAUCAAAAGAGCAAUUUUUAAAAAAUGGGAUAAAAAGUGCAACCACAUAUCAAAACUUGUCUAACGUGGCUAAUUGCAAUAUAAUCUUCUAAGGUCAUAAUUGAAUCCAACCUCUUAACAAAACCACUAAAGCUAGUGAUGGUAACUCAUAAGUUAUAUUGGCCAAUACAUCGACCGACGACUUAUUACUAUAAAAACAGUUAAGCAUGAUAGUAACUGACACGCCCUGAUCUUGAUGUCCGAGGGACAUUAGGAUGGUCACGUGCUGGUCGACACCCGAGGGUGACGAAAGCCAUUUAAUGAAUGCAUGUGCUAAGAACAUGUAAAACAUGUGUAUAAAUUUUGUGCGUGACUAUGCAAGUAAUACUCAAAUAUACGUCUUACAAAAUACCGUAGUAAUAUUCAAUUGCCAACAAUGAAUAUAAUGCUAAUGCUUGACAUGUUCAGAGCAUACAUGUAAUUCAUAGUACAAGCGGAAGAUAAAAUAGAGAGGUGUUAUUACAAUAGAAGUCAAAGUAGAGAGAAUGAUGCGGUAUCACUGGUAGGGGAAUGUGUCGUAUGUCGGAUCGUAUUCCUCGUUCCUAUGUCCUGAUGGGGUGCAAAACAACCAUGAGUGGACUAAGCUGAUAUAUAUGUAAUAAAAUAGUUAUUCAACAUACUAACCCCCAAAGUUUUAGGAAAACUAAUAGCAUAAUAGGUGAUAGAUUUGCCGAAAACCCUAGCUUGCCAUAAGACCUUUCAUAAAACAUAUAUCGUAUAUGGUAUGCUAACUAGUGGUAUCAGUAUCGCCCGAAGGCAUAUAGAACUCUUCCUUCACAAGUAUCAAUCACCAGUAGGCUCAUACAGCACCCAACCCGAAGGUCAAUAUAAGUAUCAUCGGCCGUAGGCAGGACAGUGACCACUAGAUAUGCACAAAAGCAGUGAAUAUACUCUUUCCAAACAUAGGUACAUAUAUCUCAAAAUCAUCUUCAGAGUAUAAAGUCAUCCAUCAUCUAUACUAUAAAGAAGUGAGUGAAAGCAUGUUUUAAAUAGUAUAUAGUCAUCCAUCAUAUACACUACAAAGAACAUCAGUUCAAUAAAAUAUGAUAUUUCAAAAUAUUCGCAGUAAGCAUAAUAUCUCAUAAAAUGUUUCAUAAAAUGUAAUCAUUAAAUCAUGCUUUUCAUGUAUGUAUUUAUACUAUUAAAACAUGCAUUUUAGAAGGAGUCUACUCACAGAUACUUUGUUGUCAUAGAGCCGUAAGAAAUAAGAAAGAUGAAAUCGCUGUUAAUAAUUGCACCUAAGCAUAUAAAGGGUACAAUUAAUAAAACUAUACUCAAAAGAUUGAAUUUCAAAAAAACGGACGUCAUAAAACCUAAAAGGGGACCUCGGGUACCCCUACGUGCCUCACGCGCCGCCGUGGGUCGCUGAAAAAUUCGUCGGCACCGGUGCCCCUUCACACACAGGCCCACACGCCUUCACUCGUUGCCUGGGGUUCCUAGGUUCUCUGGUUUUGGGCCUGAGCUUUGGGCUUGGGUCGAACGGUUUCUAAGCUUAAAAGAUUGGGCCUUAUGGGCCGAAGGCCUAAGGGCUUGGAGUCCAAGGGUUUUCAAAAGGGUUGGGGUCUUAGGGUUAACGGGCCAGAGGCCCAAUUUCCACUCGGUCUCAGCGCCGGUUCUUUGGGGUUUUUGGGUUAGGGUUUCAAGGGAAUUGGGCUCAAAUGCAACAACCCAAAGACACAAAUCUACACAACCCUAAGGGCCUGGGUUUGGUGGGUUAAUGGGUUGGGCUUUAAGGCCCGACCCAAAGCUUUUGGCUAAAGGACUUAGGCUUGGGGUUUUGGGUCUAGUCGACCCAAUAGCCUGGUUUCGACGGAAAAAGGAAGCCGGAGCUUCCAAAGCUUCGAUCGGCCUCGAUCUUCUACUCUAGAUGCAAUAUACCAUCAAAUGGUGGCCGGAGUUGGCCGGAAUCUGUGUUCAAAGGUCACGGGCUCGCCGAGGAGUUUUUGGGUGGACUUUGGGUGUCUCGUGCUUCACAGAGACGAGGGAGAGAGAGAGGGAGAGGGAGCCAACAAUGGUGAUGGUGGUGUACACGUUGGGGAUGUUUUGGGGUGUGUGAGUGUUUCUGUGUCUCGUCGGAGAGAAGAGAGGGUGAACUGUGAGAGAGAUCCAAGACUGAGAUAGAGAGUGAAAGUGAGAGAGAGAGCUUGGGGAGAGGAGAGAGAAAGAGGUAGUGGGUGAGUAGUUGCCACGUGGCAAGCAGAGAGAGGUGGAGAAGUUUAGAAAAUCUGAAAAAUAGGAUUUUGAUUGGGUAAGGAUAGGGGACUAGAAUGUAAAUUUCAAUAAAUCUUUAGGGAAAUUGUGAAAUUUACAAUAAUUUGGGGGUGGGGUUUAAUAGUAACCCAUAUUGCGAGAUAAAUUUAUUCUUAUAGUUGAGGUCAUAAAUUUAUUCUUAUAGUCGAGGUCAUAUCUACUCCUCGUCUAGGCUUCUUGCCGAACUUGAUUUUCUUAUGCUAUUAAUUGUCCAUACUUUUGUUAUUAUUAUGGUGUGACUGUUCUCACUUACUUUUACUGGGUUAGAGACCUAUGAGUUGAUUGGUGAAUAUAAUUUAAAUUUGUGUUUUUCACCAAUGUAAUAUAUAUAUAUAAAGGUUCUAAAAAACGCUAGGCGUUAGUCGGGUGCCGGGCUGGCGCCUAGGCAAGUUUAAGUAAACUUCUUGUAUAUCUUCUAAAUAAGUGCAUAUUGACACUGCAUUGAACUUGUAUAUCAUGCAUCCAAAUGUAAAAACAAAGUGUUAAAUGACAUAACAAGUUCAAUAUGGCAUCACUAUACACGUGUUAAAUGAUAUAACAACUUUCUAAAGAUGUGCCAUAUUUUGUAUAUCUUGUUUAUCACUAGGCAGAUUUAGGUAAUCCUCCCAACCUUCAUAUUUAGUUGACUAAUACAUCAACUCUUUAUUAAUUAAAAUACUAAAUAACAUAACUUAAAUGAACAACAACUAAAAAAAAAAGAAAAGCAAAAUACAAGAAGUAAAAUACAUAUUAACGUAAGAUAAUAACUAAUAUUAAACCCUUGAAAAUGGAUAAACAUAUUUAACACCAGACUCUCGAUACCAUUGCUACAAUAACUCUUGGGUAUGAAUAUUAUAUUAAUAUUUAGAAAAUAGAUUACUUUAGUCUAAAUAAGGCUUUUCAAUUGCACUAUACAAACGAACAGUGUUUUGAACCACAUUUCAGUUUAUUUACAAGAUUGCCACUCGAAUGCUUUUAACCACCUUUCACUUAAUUUACAAAAUUGCCACUUAGGCUUAAAAACCUAUUUUCAGCCGUUGUUUGCAUUUAAUGUUUGACUCAAUAACAGAGAGGGGAGGGGUACAUCACGCCUGACAAAUUGGAGAGAGACAAUCGCUUCCAUUUUUUACUCGAAGAUAGCUGGGUGUGCCUCUGGCGAGCGGAGAGAGGGGGAUAGAGCGACUACAGAGGAGGGAGACACAGAGCCUGACAAAUUGGAGAUAGAUGAGAGCUACGGGUAUGGACUGAGUGAGAGAGAUAUUUAGGUAGGUGCUCUGCCAGGCUCUUUCUGCCGCUAAUCUUGAUGCACACGUGUUGAUGAUCGUGGGAAGGGAAGAACGGUGGUAAAGUUGGCAUUUUCCAUUUCCUUCUCAAACCCUCAUUGCCUCUUCCGUCUCGUAGACCUUGCGAGAAUGACGGUCUCGCCUCCAUCCUAUCCUCGAGUUGUCGCCGUCUCUCUUCUUUAGGUAGGGUGUUGUGCGUGUGCGGUCAUGCUUGAUGAUCAUGGAAGCCAGUGAUUUAGCUUUUCUAUGACAUAGCCUCGACUCUGCUUCCAUCUCCAUUUUCUCUCCUCGCCUUGUCUCUCAGAAAUCACCAACAAGCUUAAAAACCACCAAGCCGUUAGAAAUCUCUUUGAUUCUCUCUCAGAAACUACGAAGCACAACGACCUCUUGUUGAAAAACCGUGAAAUUAGUCCCACUUCGAAGGAAAUUUUAAGCCCGUAAAAGCCUUGGUUUCCUGGUGAGUUCUCCAGCCGAUUUGGAGUGGGUAAUUUUGUGAUUUGCAGUUUAUUUUGGGAAAUGAUUGACGGGUUUGCAGUUCAUUUUACCAUUUCUAGAAUAUUUGCAGUUUAUUUUGGGGGUUUACACUAAAAUUAAGGAAGCAUAUAUGAACGCAAAGGCUCGAGGAUGUACGACAACUUGGAUAUGAUAGGGUACAAGCUAUGACAUUUUUGCAAAUUCAGUUUUUUUUCUUUUCAUUUUAGGGGUUUUUUUUUUUACUAUUUAGUUUUUGGGUUUUGUCUAAUUUUUGUGGUCUGCUUUAUAGAUUGUUCUCUUUGGAAGCUUCUUUCCAGCCUUGCGCUUCUUCUUGCCUGGUGCCUUCUCAUUGAAUAUUGGAGAAUUAAACCACAUGUGUGUGUGUUUUGUCGAUGUAAGAGGAGAACGACAUAAGAACAUUCAUCUUUAUAUAUAUAUAUUGUGCUUUUUCUAACCCAUCAAUUUCUUUUGAGUCAACCAAAUAGUCCCAACUUACAAUUUAUGUUGUGAAGUAUAAUUGUUUGAAAAAUUAAGUAUGCAUGUAUAUUUUAUGUAAGCAUAAAUUUAAUGAUUUACAAAAACUUUUAAUUGUUCCAUCCUAAAUAUCUUCCUUUAUUCUUGAUGCCAUGCUACUUGCUCGACCCUUUCUUGCAUCAGUUGUGUCACCUAAAAUUAAAAUGAAAUGAAAUAGUUUCCCUAAAUGCUUAAUGUUGUGAAUGCUCUAUACUCAUGUGUUUUACAGACGCUCAGUUCAAAAGAACUAGUUGCUGCUUGGGUGAGAGGUGUAUAAUUUCAUUAAAAAAAAAAAAAACUUUUUUGGUUGUUGGUGGUGGUUUAUCUGUAUUUGAUUGGUAAUUUCAACAUUUGAUGAUUCAAUAAUAUUUUGAACUUCCAUUUCUAUUGUCAGAAGAUAACGUCUCCAUCUCGAUUCUGCAUGAUCAAAAUGUACGUUUGGCUAAGACAUCCAUGCUUUUACAAGUAGAGAGGAAGCUGCAAUUAGAAACAACGUUGAGUGACAUUUAAGUCUUCAUUUGACAAAAAAAUAAAAAAAAUAAAAAAAUAAAACAUAAAAACUUGGAUUCUGAUAUCUAUAUUUGUUGUUUUAUUCUAUUGACAAUUCGUUGUUGAUUGGUUUUGUUGCUUUCCUCCACUUCUUAACUCAUAUUCAUUAAUCUACCUAUUUUAUUUGGGUGAUAAGUUCACUCUUUUAAUCUUAUUAGCUAAAUGAAGAUAUAGGGUGUGGUUUUGUUAAUGGCGGUGGAUGAUCUGGAUGAAAGUAUGUAUCUUGGAGAUUUUUUUGCUUACAUAUGUUUAGGCCCGGAUUGAAGAAGUUUUGUGGAAUGAGAUUCUUAUCAGAUUCUUAUACAAAAUUGUUUCUCUGUUUAUGGCAGGUAAUAAAUGUGGUCCAACCAAUGGCUGAUAAAAUGUCAUUGUAUAUAUGCUUUUGUCGAUUUCUGCUACGAUAAUGAGGGAAUCCAGCGGAUCGAGGCCAGUCGAUCUGAGGUUUGUGCUCCUCUAUCCCUUUCUUUCUCUCUUUCUGUGAAUUUCUUGAAAUUGACGACGCACGUUCUGAUUCUUGAUGUGUUUGGGAGAGGAGAAAGCUCUAGAUUAGCUUUGAUCACUUGAAUUUUUUCUUAUUUAGUUCAGCACAGUCGGACUACAUAAUCCUACCAUUGGGCUAUUUCUAGGGAGGGUUUAUGUUUACUUUUGUUAGUAUGUUGACAGUUUGGUAUGUCUAUCAUAUUGAUGGAACUAAAUUGUGAGUUAAUUAUCGUUUAGGUUGUUAAUAGUGUUUGUACAGUUAAGACAACAUGUGUGCUUUAUGCAGAAAGUUCAAAGGUUUCUGUUCCUGGCUUUAGUUUUAAUGUCGAAUAAUCAUUGUUUGAUUACAUUGUAGUAUUAGUAUGUUAUCUUAAUGAUUUCAUAUGCUUCUCUUUACGUUAAUUGUGUUGGAUUUCUACAUUUUUGGCUUUUGUUUUCUUUAAUUAAAUGAAGUUUGUAAUGUAUUUGGACAGGUACCAAUCUUCUUAAUGAAGAUUAGAGCAAUCAAAUGGAGCUUCAUAGGAUAAGUUUGUGAGGGUGAGUUUUUUUUUUUUUUUUUUUUUUGUUACUGUAUUUUUCUCCUUCGUGGCAUGCUUCUUGAUGGUUUUACUUUUACUUAAGUCUUCAUUUCGGUUCCUUGCCCAGGUUAUACAAAACUCAGUUGGUGUAAACCUUGCUGUAGAUGUAUGGAGUCUUGGGUGCAUUGUCUUGGACAUGGCUACGACAAAAACCACAUUGGAGCCAGUAUAAAGGGGUAUGAAUUUAAAUCUGAAACGAAUACUUUUGUAUAUUUGGUUUUGUAGUUAAUUUCACCUUCUGGGUUUAUGCUGGGUUUUAGUACAAUUUUAAAGGGAGAUAUAAUCCGGUGAGGUUUCUCAAGUCCAUGCAGAAGGCAGGGCUCUAUGCUCACCUUCGCAUUGGCCCUUAUGUUUGUGUUGAGUGGAACUUUGGGUAAUUCUUUUUCUCUAGAUCUAUAAUUUUGGCUUUUUUUCUUUCUUAUUUUUUAGGAUUUUCCACUCUCAUUCUAUUUUCCUCUCCUAAUUUUAGAAAAAAAGUAUUUAAUUUCUCUGAUUGUGUGGUUUGUAGGGGUUUUCCUAUUUGGCAUAGGCAAGUUUUGAUUUUUACUUUUCUUUUUUCUCACAGGGGGCUCUCGGAGAAGCAUGUAAUGGAGACACCACUUCUGUCAUUAUCUUUGGAAGUAUUUGAUGGUCGACUGGAUGAUCCUAUUAGCGUGUCCAUCCGAGGAGGUUUGUAUUCAUCUUUCCACUUUUUUGGGAAAAAUGUUUAGAAAUCAUAAAGAUGCUUUUGAAGAUAGGUAAGCAACAAUUUCUAAAAUUUUAGUGUAAUCUUUUUUCAUUAUGAAGUUCUUCUAAUGGUAAUUAGUGAUUUCAAACAAAUUCUGUGAAGUGAAAAGUGAAAUUUUGUAUGUUUAUCAUUCCAAUUUAUCUUUAUGCAGACUUUUUCUGUUGAAUGGAAAACAUACGUUUUUUUGUCUUUGUUUUUUUAUUUUUUAGUUUAUUGGUUGAUUCAUUUUAUGAUUGUUGAUAUGCAAGAUGCAAAGAUAAUUUCUUUGUUUCUAUAUAUUGUUACUAUAAGGGGUGGUUUGGGAGUGAGGUGCUUAAAAAAAAUGCACCCAUGAAAAAAAGUUGUUAGGGUUUUAGGUGUUUGGUAAACUAAAAAAAAAGGGCUUAUUUUGGAAGCUGUUGUGAGAAUAAGCUGAAAUCCAAAGGAAAAGCUGAAGCAUCUAUUUGCAGCUUUGGAAAACUGGUUUUUUUUUCAAAGCACACAAAGCUACAUUGCUCCUUUAAUGAAAAGACCCACUAUCAGACUGUUUUUUUUUUCCAAAAGCACUUUUACAAAAAAGUUUACCAAACACUCUGCUGAUUUAUUUCACAGCCGCUUAUUCUUACAGCACAGCUGCUUAUUCUCAUAACAGUUUUUUUUCAAAGCACAGCAAUACCAAAUCAGCCCUAAUUCUACCAAUAGAAACCGGUACUGUGAUUGUGGCAGUAAAUGAACCUAGUCAUUGUGGCAGUAGAUGAACCAUAACCAUGCCAGUUUGUAGCCUGCGAUUCUACUUGUGGUGGUUUAAUUUAGUUCUGUUUUCAGUUUCAGGAGAUCCUGAUUUUUCGUUCUUUGGGCCUUUGUUUGCAGCCUUCAAAGCCGUCUCUGCUCACGCCUUAUGAUUGUAGUGGUAAGCUUCCCUUUCAAAAAUUCCUUCCUUCCAGUAUUUAGGGAUUAUGAAGUGAUUUCUCUGCUUAAUAUGGGAUUAGGGUUACAUUUUUCUUAUAAUAAAAAUCUUUGUAUGCUACCCGGAAGCUUCCUUUUCAAAGAUUCUUUCUUUCCAGUAUUUAGGGAUUAUAAACUGAUUUCUCUGCUUAAUUUGUUCCAAAGUAUAAUGUAGAGAUUGCUUUAAUAUAUUGGCUUAUUGGCUGUAUGUCGAGUGUCUGAGAUAAGAUUUAGGAGAUCUAGUUUAGGUUUUGCAAAGAGAGAGAGAGAUAGGGGGUGUCCGAAAGAAAUGUGAGAGGGUUUAGGCGAGGGAUUUCAGGGAUUUGUUUAAGGUUCCUUUUCUGCAAUUUGCAGACAGAGAAAUGGGACAAGGGGGAUAGAGAGAUGUGAGGAUUUUCUGUGAGGGUAAAUGGGCAUUUCGUUUUCCAGUUGCUUCUUGAAACCCGAGAGAUUUCUACGAUUGUAGAGAGAGAUGGGGGUGUCCGUUAGGUGCCCUUUAAUUGUCACUUUUGUGAUUUGUCCAUCCUUGAUUGUUGUGUGAUUCAUUCUCAUGAAUGUUCUAUGCACAAGGUUUCAUAUUAUUCCUUCCUUUUGAUUUUGAUAUUGUUGUGCUUAAUUUCUGUUAUGUUUUAUUGGGUGAUUAGAUUAACAGACAUUGGAUAUUUUGGUACAAUAAUUUCACAUCAUGUGUUACCCUUUUGCAUCACCUUAAUUGUUCGUCACAUGCUAACUUUUAAUUAUGUUUUCUUUGGGUCAGUCUCUAUCUGGUAAAUUUGUCCAUCCUUCUGGAGUGGAGCACUAUCUUUCUGACAACAUAACUGCUCUGAGAAACUGCUAUGGAGACAAACAGUUGUUUACUCCGUUGUAGGUAUGUUUUUCUUAAGUAUUUUAGAAGGAUUCUUAACGCUUCCCCAUUAUAAUCUUAACCUUUGUAUCUAUCUCUCUCAAAAGACGAUGAGAGUAACAACUGUUGAAAAGCAAAUUCUCAAAUGUAUCUAAGCUUAUGCAUACAUUGGAUAAAAACUGAAUCUUAAAUUAGGGCAGUGAGUUUUGCAACAUCCUGGUGCUGCAUAUAUUGUCACACUUUUAAAAGUUGUAUAUCUCAGAUAUAUUGGGAAUUUAAUUAGUUUUAUGUCAUUUUCGUAGGGCAAUUUAGUAGAGAUUUAGCACAUAAAAGAAGAUGUGGGAAUCAGUACAAUUAACCUAAUAGUGAUUUGGUUCAAUGUAAAGACUACUGCUAGGGCACUCAAGUCAUUUUCUUAAUUUAUGCGCAUAUAUAUUAUACGUAACCAACACAUGUUUUCAAAUGAUGUUAGUGUUCAAGCUCUGCUGAUAUUUUAUUCUGUUCAUUUUGAUUUUGUUUUUCAGUUGUGGUUAUAGGAUUGUUUUGUCUAUUUUUUUUUCUUUUUUUUUUCCCCUAUGUACAACUUUUCUAAAAUUCAACUGUUCUCAAUUUGGUUAUUUGAACUGAGGCCUGUUAGGCUGUGCCUUUGGAAGGUCUCAUUGCUUUUAAAGUUGAAUGGUGCUAACUGAAUAUAAUGCGUUCAUUCUUCAGUGUGUGUGAGCGUAUGUGUAUGCAGUGUAUGUGAGUGCAUGCCGUGUGUGCAGUGUGUCACUUGGGCUGUUGGCUUUUUGAGGUAUGUUCAUUUAUAGAGAUUUUGUAACUGUAUUGUUGAAUUUUUAAUGUAUGCUUGGAUUUUAAAGGGGCACCAUAUUUAUGGGUUGUUGUACGAUUCUAGGGAGAUAUAGGGGAUUGAGAGGUCAUGCUAAGGAGAAUAUAUUACUUGCCACAAAGGAAUAUACUUCAUAUAAUAGCAAUGUGAUGAUGUGUGGCAUGCUUUAACUAAGGGAUAUUUUUGUGUAGUAAGAAAGCCAUAUAGAGUCACAUUUUUGUUUUUUCUUUUUUUUUUGGAUUUGGUAACUGAAAUUUUGUGUGAACUAAUGUUUCUUCUGUUUCUUAAGGAAACAUAACUUUUUUGGAAACCAUCUCUUUCUAAUCAAAGACGUUUAGUUUCUUCCCAUUCAUUGUACAAUGUAUUUAUAUGCCAGCUCACUUGAAUGUAUAUAAAAAAAACUAUUUGUUCAUAAUUGUGUUGAAUUUAUUCAACUUAAAUGUGUUUUAUUCAUCCGAUUACACCUGAAACAACAGGUUCCCGCAGCAACGCGCGGACAUAUUUUCUCGUCAAUUCUAAAGUUGGUGGGCAAUUGGCCUGUUCAUGGCUACAGUCAAGAAAAUGCCACUCGAUUUCACUCUACUUAAAAAAAGGCCAGCCAAAUUAGGCUGGGUUGGGAGGGUAAUUCUCAAAAAUUCAGAAGGUGAUUUUGUCUGUAUGGUUUAGCACGGAGCCACUCGAUUUCAUGCUAUUUACAACAAUACCAGCCGAAUGGAGCUGGAUUGGGAAUGUAAUUCUCAAAAGUUCCAGAGGGUAAUUUUGUUCGUUUGGUUUAGCACGGAUUGCUAGGUUACACGCGUGCGCUCCCUCUUCCUCUCUCUCCUACGUGAGCCCUCUCUCAUCUCUCACUUUUCCUGUUUCUGUCCUCCUCAAUCCCUAGCAGCCACAAUUCCAUCUCUUCCGUUUCUUUCAUCCCAAAACGGAAGAAAUAUGGAAAAUCAGGGUGUUCGUCACUGGAAUUUCCAAUGGGGAAGUUUCCUGGCCGACGAGCACACAGCUCCCCGAGAGGUUGGCGCCGGUUGAUACUUCCUGUCGGGCUUCUGCUUGUUGGGGGGCUUGUCGGGCAAGACUUGUCAGGCAAGGCUGAAAGAGAAAGACAAAGUUAACUCUGAAAAGUGCCUUUGUGGGGCCUUAGGUGUAGGCCUUGAGGCUCACAAUCAAAAUUAACUUUAGGUGCUCAGGCAUGCCACUGCCAUCUUUAGCAUGGUAGAUGUAAAACAUAUGUUGAGUUUAAUUAUAUUUGCCCGAGCCACCAAGUUUAGCUAUGAAAUGUGCCUUUUUAGGGCCUUAGGUAUAGGCCUUGAGGCUCGCAAUCAAAACCAACCAAGUACUCGAACAUAUAGAGGUUGUUUCAUUGUUGCAGAAGUAUUAUGACUGUUAUACUUUAAUCACCCGAGCCCGACGAACAGAAUGAACCCAAAUAGGUGCAUUUGUAGGGCCUUAGGUAUAGGCCUUGAGGCUUCCCAUCAGAAUUAAUUCAAUACUCAAACGUUCUAUGACAAUCAUAAUAUAACAGAGAUAAAACUAAGAAAUAGGUCGAUUACUUGCGCCCCAAGUAACUUCGGACUUUUUAUUAUCAAAAACUGUCGUGGAUGGGUUAAGUCCACAUAAGGUUCUUUUUUAUGCCUUGAGAUCAAGGACUUUUGAAUAAUUAAUCUUGUAUGCCUGAGAGGUUAGAACUUAGAUAUUCCAACUUAUCUUUUGCAUGGUUGGGCACUGUUAACCCGAUCGGAUUCAAGAACUGAGAAGUCUUUUAAUCAUAAACUUGCUAGAAAUAACUUGGAUACAAAUGGAAGUAUACAACAUAUUACUAGAUCUAUGAAUGAAAAAGACAGAACAAAGAGGGUCGUGCAAGGUUUCACCUUGUCGGGCAAGGCUGAUCGUCUUGCAACUUCCUAUCUUUUGUGAUUUACAAAGGGUUUGAGAGCUAAAAAAGGGAGAUUGGGAGAUGAUUUUACAGGAAAGAAUCGAUACUACAACAAGAUUUAGACAAGGUAGCAGAGCUUUUACAAAGGCUUUUAGUGAAGGUUGAUCCCGAAAGGGAUGAAGGCUUGAUGCUGACUACAACUUCGUUUGCAAAUCUAGCUUUGAGCAGAAUUUGUGUAUUUGUUUGUUUGUUUGAGUGUCCUUAUCUUUGAUUUCUCUUUCUUCUUUUAUAGACGAUUUGGCUUGGCCUCAUGUAACAUUUAAUCUUGUCCGAAUGUAACUUGAAGGGUAGUGACUCAUCAGCUAUUUACUUGUACUGUCAUUGUAAAGUACUUUUGGGUUGAUUAGCUGGCUGGUCUACACCACUUGACUUCUAGGUAGGUGAGCAAGUGGCUCAAAUGAUCUGCACUUAAUCGAAAAAGGGCAUUUUCUGCCUUCUGGGCUUCGGCUGAACUUCAGGUUUCUUUUCUUCUAGACCUUCUUUUGGGCUUAACUACAUUUUGAGCCCAAAGUUAAGUUUUAACCUGACAUAGGGCUCUUCCAUUUGCUUCCACGGAUUUCUCGAGCUCCAGAUUGCUAGCCUCCGUAUGAAGGUUCGUCUCUCUCUCUCACUUUUUUUUUUCAAUUCGUGAUCGAAUUUUCUUUCCAAGAAUGUUUGAUCUAUUGCCUUCGGAAAGAAUGCCCUGCAUUUUUCUGCCUUUUUCUUUUUAGUGAUUUUUUUUCCUGAUGAGAAUGCAAGUUUUGGAUUUAUUGAUCUUCGAUUCCGCCUCCCCUCUCCUCUACCUGACCCUCCUCUUCUCCCUCCUCCUCUUCCUCUCCUACUUCUUCUUUCUCACUCCCAAUUCCCUCUUCCUCCAGACCUCACUUUCCAUUUCCCCAAAAGUUCCUUCGGUUCUGCAUCAACACGCGGUUGCUCUCGGCAGUUGCCCAAAGUUUCGAAUUUUGAGCCCUGAUGAGAUCAAGAUUUCGGUCUGGAAUCAUACAGUUAACUCAUUCGUAGUGGGAGGUAUGUGGGUUUUCCCCUGUUUCUCAUCCUUUUGCUCUAAUUUGGGGCAAAACUGUAGAAUUCUAUGCAUCUCUGUGUGUGUCUUGGUGUAAUUUAUGUGUAGUCUAUCAAUUUUUGGUGGAGAUACUGAACAUUUCGGCUUUGUUUCUAUAGUUUGUAUUCUAGAUUUGCAAUUUAUAUGAUAUGUUGGUGAUUUGUUUGCUUUUCAUCCUUCCGGAGCAAUAACAUUACAAUUUCGAUUUUUGGCAUCGGAUAUCAUAGGAGUUUACUUACAUGAAUUUGUUUUUAGCAGUUGUUAAUUAGAAUUGGCUAAUUCUUUUACUAAGAAUUUUUUUUUACUCACUCUGUUGGUUCUUCUUCAUAUAAGUACAUAGAAAACGCAUCAAAGACUGAUUAGAAUUAGUUAGCUUAUGGGUGUGUUAACAUGUUUAAGUAGUAGUACUUAAACUCAAAAGAUGCUGGAGUGUUUCUUUCAUUAAUAAUUUGUAUUGAACUCAGCAUUUCAUAAGAGUCGAACCUGAGAGCUUUGUGGAAAGGAAUAAAACAAGAUCGUACCAUUUUAUGUAUGUUUGAUUACAUUGCUUAUAAUUAGUAAUAAUUACAUUUUAUGGACAUUGUAGCUUUCAUGGAGUUCCUUGCUCAAGCAUGUGUGAAGAGGCUAUUUUUUUUCCUUCUGGUUUGUUCACUGUUCAGUUGUGGUUCAGUUCUCCACCUUUUGGUUGGAGUACAACAGAUGCUUUUAAAUUAUUAAAUUAGGAGAGCUAAGAAGAUAUUUUGUGCUAAUUGCUAUUUGAUAACUCUGGUUUUCUCUUUUGGCUACCACCUUGCUCUCUCUCCAUUUCUCUUUUUCCUCCUGCUCUGCUGGUUUUUCUGUGUUACAACCUCUCUGCAAAAACCAGACUGUAUGUGUUUUGCAUGUAUUUGUUCAUGCUUCUAUUGUUUGUUGUUGUGGUGGUGACCCUGUGAAUGGAAUUCUCAGUUAUCUAUUCCUCUAGAAUUAUACAUGAUGCAUCUGAUUUUUGUUCAUCGACAGAUGAUGCCACAUGCUUGAGAUUUUUAUGCCAUCACUCUGUUGGUUCUUUUGUGAUUGUUAUUGAUUGUUUUAAAAUGUGUAUGAUGUGUGUGAUGCGCAAAUUAGAGCAGAGGUUUCUACAUGUGGUUUUAAAUUGAGCAGAGGCGAUAAUUUUUUUUAUUAGAGAAGGAAUCAUUGAGGUCACUUUAGAAAAUGGAUGGGUGUCUGGUUAUUUUGUCAUUUGAGUGGUGUAGCUUUGUUAUGAUCUCUGUUCCGGCACUGUGUGAUUAGUGUUAAUGGUUUUUCAACACUGUUUGUAACCUAUUAUUUUCGUUGUUGUCAUGUAACUUAGUGUUGAUGGCUGUGUUUGUGAUUUUCAGAAAUUUGGAUCGUUAGAGGGAGUCUUAGUAUCACCGUUCUGCGACGGAUUAAGUUUAUGUCACGGCCUCAAUACAUUUUAUGGGUGGAGAUGAGUGGUACAAUUUUUUGGUUUUAGCACAUUUUUGUGUUUGUUGGAAGGUCUCAAUUACUUUUUUUAGAUAAUCUAUGGUCUCAGAUGGAAGAGUUGAAUGCAAAACAGGUCAUGAUGACAAAUGAUACGUUCCCGUUAUUAGUUGCUUUUCUUUCGUGAAAUGUAAUUUUGUCGUAGAUUAAGUUUGUUGCACCAUCACAGAUUAAGUUCAUUGCACUGUCACAGAUUGAGUUCAUUGCACUGUUACAGAUUGAGGUACUUUUCCUGUGUCCGUUUGUUUGCGCUUUGAAUUCUUACUCUGAAUCUCAUUUUUGCAGUUUAGAUUGGACUAGCAUUGCAACAUUGUGAUCUACUCUUGCUGCUGCCUUUGAUCUUGGGGUUCGGAGCGAUUGCACUUGAAUCAAGGCUCUGGUAGUGAACUUUCUCAUUCUUCCCGAAGUGCUUUAAUAUGUGUUGUUGAUAACUGCGCUCUCUCAAUGAACCAGAAAUAUUUUUAGACAAAUCACAACUUCCAUAUUUAAGAAAAUGAGUGGCUUUUUAACAAUGCAUGAAUGUAGCUUACAUGUUCAGAAAAAUUCAUGGAUAUUUACAUUCAACCCGCAAGUAUCAUUAACUCAUAAAAAAUUAAGUUUAAUUCAUGGAUGUUUACAUUGAACCCACAAGAAUAUCAUAAAAAAUUAUGUUUUGUAUUUUCUUUAUCGCGUGUCGCUUCAAAUUUUUAUCUAAAACAUUGUCGAAAUGCUUAUUGGUUACUUUUUAUGUCCUUCUGUUCAUUCAUGAUUGUGUUGAAUUUACUUAGGUCCCGCCGCAACGCGCGGGCCUAUUUUCUAGUUUAAACUAAAGUAAAGAAAAGUUAGAAAACUGAUUAACAGGAAGAAAGGAAAAUACUUCAGACUUCGGACUCUUCACAGUUAGCGGUAAGAAGACGAAGCAACACAGACUCGACCUCCUUAUAAAUGUCAAAUCUGUUCUUCCAAUCUCUUAUUUUUGGAUCAGGUUCUCCGGUCUGCUAAAAGGCUCUUCGAUUUAUUCAAUUAGUCACUCAUGUGUUUGGACGACGGCGAUGUUGCUGCAGAGACAGUGAGUUGUGACAGAGCAGGAGAGUUUCAGGUACCAACUAGCUGCCCAACGCCCAUCUAGGCCGCCCAAGUACCUGCCUAGGCCGACCAACGACCGCCUAAUUCUUUUUCCGAUUUUUCUUUCGAUUUUGGUUAAAUCCCAACGGCUAACCAUCACCCAGCACCUAGGUGCCGCCUAGGUCGAUUUUUUAAAACACUGAUAUAUAUAUAUAUAUAUAUAUAUAUAUAUAUAUAUAUAUAUAGAUUUUUCCUCGCGUUACACUAUAAAAAAAUAAAAUAAAACAACAACAACAACAACAAUGCUAAGUUCUAGGUAAAUGACUCAAAAGAAUUAUAAGUAUGAGAUUGAGGUGGGUCCUGACACAAAGACUACUUCCCUGUCAUGUUCAUCUACCUAAAUUUGAAAUCUUUUUGUAGUGGCGUUUAAAAAUUCCCUCAGAGUGAGAGCUUUUCUCUUCUUGAGAGUUUCCCAUCUUAAAACUUCUUCCUUUCUUCAGAAAGGAUUUGACCAAACAAAAGAAAAGUGAUAUCUUUUCCACCAAGAAUUUAGAAUUAUUAUAAAGGAAUAGAUUCAUAUGUUGUCGUCAGACAAAUAAAAAUACGUUUUUCUUUUUAAUACAUCGAUAUUUUUACACUAAGAGAUCGAUAGCCACACAUAAUUGAUAACUUAAUUUGGUAUCGAAUUUGCCAUCCACGAAUUCGAACCUAAGAACUGUCACUUCCAAGUAAAAAGGAAUAUCAUUAAACUGUAGUACUGAGUAGCAUAAAAACACGAACGCGUAUUAUAUAUUAUUAAAUACAAAAGUCCAACCACAUGUCAAAUGUCGCUAGUUGCAAUAUAAUCUUCUAAGGUCAUAAUUGAUUAAAGUAUCAAAUGUGGCUGCUAAAAUGACUCAAAAGAAAUUAAAGUAUCAGCUCGAGGUGGGUCCUGACACAAAGACUACCUCCUUGUCCUUGAACAAGUUCGUCGACCUAAAAUUGAUAUCUUUUACACCAAGAAAUUAGAAUUAUUAUAAAGGAAUAUAUUCAUACGCUAUAGUCCGACUAAUAAAACACGUAUUAUAUAUUAUUACAAAUCAACGUGCAUUAACAAAGAAAUAUAAAAGGAAAUGCCGGAUUUGUCAACUUGAUGUCGAGAGCAGUGACAUAAUCGCCGUCCAAUUGGAAGAUUCUCGAAUCAAUAUGUACAAGAAAGGAAGAGAAGUUGAAUAUCUCCAUGUCCGGAGUCUUUGACGACUGCUUCUCCUCUGCAUUUUCUGUCUAUAAAUACUCAAUCUGCUAGUCUGCUUCUUCACCCACUAUUCACACUCACACUCACCGCUUUUUGUAACCUUAGAAACUUUGUUCAAAUCUGAUCAGCCUUCAAUGGCGGAUGAGGUGGUGUUGUUGGGUUUCUGGUCAAGCCCAUUUGGGAUAAGACUGAGGAUUGCUCUGGCUGAGAAGGGCAUUGUGUAUGAGUACAAAGAAGAGGAUAUUUGGAACAAGAGCCCACUGUUGCUGCAGAUGAACCCGGUUCACAAGAAGAUCCCGGUUCUCAUUCACAAUGGAAAACCGGUCUCCGAGUCCCUCAUUGCGCUUCAGUACAUUGACGAAGUUUGGAAUGAUAAGGCUCCACUCUUGCCCUCUGACUCUUACCUCAGAGCCCAGGCCAGGUUCUGGGCUGACUUCGUCGACAAGAAGGUGAUUUUUACUCAUUAAUUUACUUAUUUGCAGUAUUUUUGUUUUGCUUUGAAUAUUUUUGGUUUGAAACAAUUGAAAACAUGGGAAAUAGAUCAUCUGGUUAUAUUUUUUAUGUUUAAAUGUUGAGAGUAUCUGGCAUAAGUGCUUAAAACCACACACGUUGCUAAUUGGUUUUAGGUUAAAUGCUUACGGAUAUUUGAGCUGGUAAUUAAACAAUGUUGUUUCAGAAUUUUAAGAUUAAAAGUGUUUAGGGUGUAACGGUUUUACCAUUUAGGAUUUGUAUUAGAAGGAAAACUAAAUGGAAAUUAGAUCUCUGUUUAUGUUUUCAUGGUUAAUAUUACGCUCGCUUUUAAAACAUGGUUGAUUAAGGUUUCAUGUUACAGUUUCGGGUUUAAGGUUUAAGGUUUGUGAUGUAUAUUUGAAAGAUAUCAGCAGAAGAUCUGAACUUGCUCAAAACAAUGUAUAUUAAUUUCCCUGAAUUUUUGGGGAUGUGAAAUGCAGAUAUUUGAGUUUGGGAGGAAGCUUUGGGCAACCAAAGGAGAAGAACAAAAUGCAGCAAUAAAAGAAUUUCUCGACUUCAUUGGCGUGUUAGAAAGAGAGCUUGGAGACAAGCCUUUCUUUGGGGGGGACACCCUCGGAUUCGUGGACGUGACGCUUAUUUCAUACUAUAGCUGGUUUCUUGAGUAUGAGAAAUUUGGCAACUUUAGUGUUGAGGCAGAGCACCCAGAAUUUAUUGCCUGGGUUAAGAGGUGCAUGGAGAAGGAGAGCGUGUCCAAGUCACUUCCCGAGCAGGAAAAGGUCUACGAUUACGCAAUGUUUUUAAGGAAAAAGUUUGGAAUUGAGUAGAUUUUGGUCGAAGCCUGCAAGAAGCUAUUGAUGAUCAGUGUCAUUCCAACUUGUUUGGUCGUGUGGUUGUUCUGUCUUUCAAGAUUCAACCCGUUUUGGGUUGUUGAACUAGAAUAAAAGGGCACUUGACAAGCCUUGUACUGUAAGAGGCACUGUAUUGUGCCUCAGGUCGUAUGUUUAUUUUGCUUAUGUAGUCGGCUUAUCACACCUGUCAACUUGUUAUGUAAGGGAUCUAAAUCUACUUGAUCAAAUUUCUUAUUUUGUAACCACUUCAUAUCCAACAAUGGAUUAUUGGUUGCCACUAAUUGUGUUUAAUUAUGAGUCUAUCUCUCUUAUCAGGUAACAAAGACCAAAAUUUAUUGGCCAAUUCUUGUUUCAUAACCGUAUAGAAUCAACCAGUAAUAUCUUCUACAUAUACAUUUAUGUUCUUGUAAUUUGAUUCAUAAAUCAUUUUUGUCAAUAUAGUGCACAUCCGGUCAACAAGUGACUUGUCCGUACCUAUAUGAACCUACUUCAUGAGAUCCCCAUGCACAUAAGUUUAAGUUUAUGCAUUAAUUUGAUAUAAUCUUGGCCAAUUAGCCGCAAUAGACAUGUUGUGAUAUUUGGUUGCACUUUUGAUUACACUUCCUAAAAAUUGCUCUUUUGAUGAAUUUUGCCUGUGAAAAGUUCAUAGUGCCCUUCAUUAAUAAAAAAGGGUGCGACAAUAUAGACACCCAACUUCCAACGACACCCCCCACCCCUCCUUCGUUUUUGAUGAUUAACUACCACUUAGACAACACCACAACGAUACCACAACUACACUCUAAUAAUUUAAAAAAAAGAAAAAUUAAUGAAAAAGACUUGAAAACUUUGCGUUUUAACGAUAAGGACAAAAUAAAGGGUAAAGUGAAUAGUACCAAGAUUGACUUUUUAAUGUUAAAAUGUGGUUUUUCGUUAAAGUGAACAGUACCGGGAGCUUUUCGUUAAAGUUCCCUUAAAAAAAAACGACCAAAAACUCAUUUUCAAAGAACCUCAUUUAACCAAAAAGGACUUACAUUUCGAUUUGAUUUAAACCAAAAGCCUCAUGAUUUAGAACAACCACUGCAACAACAAUAAUCUGAGAAGCUACAAACUCCAACGAUACUCCUCAUUUUAUGAUUUUAAACCCAGCACAACCAUAACAACAAUCUAAUGACACCACAACGCUGCUCCUACUUUUAUGAUUUUGAACCAACACAAUCACAACAACAAUCUAAUGAUGUCCAAAUGAUACACCCCCGUUUUUAUUUUAUUUUGAACAACCUCAGCCGCAAUAAUUCAUUGAAGGAACCCUCACCUUCUUCAUUCCCCAACCACCAAAACCAAAUUUCAAAUCCAAAAAUCGAAUAAUGAGCUAAAGCAAGAUGAGAGACAGAGAGACAGAGAGAGAAGAAGAAGAAGAAUGGAUCAGAGAGGUGGAGUAAUAAGAAGCUUACCUACUUCCAUGGUGUCCUAGAUGUUAUUCGCCGCUCCAAAUUUGAUUAGUCAAAGAGGAGCAACCAAAGAAGGGAUUUGACGGUGUUGUUGGGUGUUGCUGGUUUUUUUUUUAUCAAUGAAGGGCAGUAUGGGCUUUUCACAUGCAAAAUUGAUCAAAAGAGCGAUUUUUAAAAAGUGUGAUAAAAAGUUCAACCACAUAUCAAAACUUGUCUAAUGUGCCUAAUUGCAAUAUAAUCUUCUAAGGUCAUAAUUGAAUCUAACCUCUUAACAAAACCACUAAAGCUAGUGAUGGUAACUCAUAAGUUAUAUUGGCCAAUACAUUGUCCGACGACUUAUUACUAUAAAAGCAGUUAAGCAUGAUAGUAACUGACACGCCCCGAUCCUGAUGUCCGAGGGACAUUGGGAUGGCCACGUGCUGGACGACACUCGAGGAUGACGAAAGCCAUUUAAUGAAUGCAUGUGCUAAGAACAUGUAAAACAUGUGUAUAAAUUUUGUGCGUGACUACGCAAGUAAUACUCAAAUAUACGUUUUACAAAAUACCAUAAUAAUAUUCAACUACCAACAAUGAAUAUAAUGCUAAUGUUUGACAUGUCCAGAGAAUACAUCUAAUUCAGAGUACAAGCGACAGAUAAAAUAGAGAGGUGCUAUUACAAUAGAAGUCAAAGCAAAGGGAAUGACGCAGUAUCACUGGUAUGGGAAUGCCUCGUACGUUACGUUAGAUCGUAUUCCUCGUUCCUAUGUCCUGAGGGGGCGUAAAACAAACAUGAGUGGACCAAGUUGAUAUAUAUAUAUAUAUAUAUAAUAAAACAGUUAUUCAACAUAUUAACUCCCAAAGUUUUAUGAAAACUAAUAGCAUAAUAGGUGAUAGAUUUGCCGAAAACCCUAGCAUGCCAUAAAACCUUUCAUAAAACAUAUAUCGUAGAUAGUGUGAUAACUAGUGGUAUCAGUAUCACCCGAAGGCAUAUAGAACUUUUCCUUCAUAACACUUCAUUCACAAGUAUUAAUCGCCUGUAGGCUCUUACAGCACCCAACUUGAAGGUCAAUAUAAGUAUCAAUUGCCCGUAGGCUCCUACAGCACCUAACCCAAAGGUCAAUAUAAGUAUCAUCGCCCGUAGGCAGGACCUAACCCAAAGGUCAAUAUAAGUAUCAUCACCCAAAGGUCAAUAUACUCUUUCCAAACAUAGGUACAUAUAUCUCAAAAUCAUCUUCAUAGUAUAAAGUCAUGCGUCAUCUAUACUAUAAAGAAGUGUGUAAAAGCAUGUUCUAAAUAGUAUAUAGUCAUCCAUCAUAUCUACUACAAAGAACAUCAGUUCGACAGAAUAUGAUAUUCCAAAAUAUUCGCAGUAAGCAUAAUAUCUCAUAAAACGUAAUCAUUAAACCAUGUUUUUCAUGUAACGACCCGCCCCUAAAAAUUAUAGUUUUUAUAAUUUUAAAAUGUGAAUAUACAAAAAUGCCUUUCGAGGCAAAUAUGUUGACUUUUGUUGCCACUUUGUUGUGUCAAGUAAGAAUCAUUUUCUUGGUGUAUUUGGAUAGUACUCGUCGCUACGAAUGCGAAGGCAUAAACGGAACAUGAUUUGAAGUUAUAACGAAGAAGUUAUGGGCGAGUAAAAAUAGGGACAAAAUAGUCAUUUAAAUAUUUUUUGAAAGGCUCUAGAUUUUGGAGAAAAAUCUGGAAAGCCACAUGUGUGGCCCAGAUUGAAAGAAAUGAGAAACAGAUGGAUGGAAGAGAAAAUAAAUGAGAGAAAAGAGGGAGGGUGAGGACCAAUCAGGAGAAGGGAGAGGGUGAGUGACCAAUUAGAGAGGAGAGAAAGGAAGGGAAAGGAGAAAGAGGAGGAGCACCAGAUCACCCUUGACCCGGUUCCUCCCCGUCGACCCAACCCGAUUUCUACACACCCCGAUGCCAAUUCUGGCAUUUUCCUGGCAAAUUGACCGUCGCCACCACCUACACACGAGUACACAACACUUCUUUUUCAACUUCCAUCCCAAGCCCAAUGGUUUUUGGUCUUGUUUUCGUGGAGAUGGCAUUGGCGGCACCGUGGGGGGAGAUCGGUAGAAAUCUGCCAUUUCUGAAGGUAAACCCUGCGACUACUAUCACCAUUAGCCUUUCCUUGAACCCAGGAACAAUUUCCAAUCAUUGGUUAGAGCAUCGGAGUCAAUUUGAGGACGAAUUAAGAAACACCCUUUAUAGGGUUUCCGACCUGUUUUAGUGAAAUUGGGGCUUUUCCCGGCCAAAUUGGCCUUAGUCACAUGUAUGAAAGUUGCUCCAUUCAUCGAGAUCUUCAUUUCUAUAAAAUUUUGGAAUUUUUGGAGUUGUUUGAUUCUCCGGCGAGUCGGGGCGGGUGGCCACCACAUGUGGCGGCGCGUGGAGGAAAAACCUGAGGUUCCUCGAUGUGCCGAAUCCGAAUCCGCCAUCCGUUUUCCCAAAUUCUAACAUUUAAGUAAAGUUUUAGUAAAAGGUCCUUAAUUGUGUUUAGACGCGUUGAUGGGAAACAACGUCAUUCUCAAUAGUUCGAGCGGCUUUCGGGCGAUGGAAAACUUGUGAGUGGACCCCUUAUUAACUAUAUAUUUUUAUAAAUUAUUAACCUAGCAUGCAUUUCAUAUUUCAUGCUUUGAAUAUGCUUUAUAUUAUGUUUUUUGGGAUUUUCUAUAAUUAUGGUUUAUAUAGAAUUCAUGAUUUAAUUGCUUUACGGAAUAUUUAUAAUUUAUCGAAUUUAUGUUUAAUAGUGGUGAUGAAUUAUUGGUUUUGGAUAUAUGAAACCCUUGGUUUUACGAAUAUGUUUUAUAUACGAUUUAUGCGACGAGAUUUUGGUACUUACCUAAUGGGUUAUCAUACGGCACAUCCGCACAUCACGGGCAUUAUGUCUAUGGCCAUAGGUCACAAAUGAUGGAGGAGUGAGAUAUGAUAUAUUAUAUACCCCCAGCUUCACCACCGAAAGCAGUGUCGGACUGCUUCACUAGCCACGGCUAGUGUCGGUGUGGAUGUAUGCUAUUUUAUACAGCAUCACCUUCGGGUGAUGGACAUGUUAUACAACUUCACCUUUGGGUGAUGAACAUAUUCUUCAGCUUCACCUUCGAGUGACGGACAAGUACUGCCUUCGGGCGACUAUGAUACCCCUCGUUGAGUAAAACAUGAAUAUGAUUUACGAUGUUUCACAAAUGUUUUACACUACAUGCUAGGGUUUUUCAUAAAACCUACUAUGUAGAAUUAUAUAUUUGUUUUCAAAACAGGGGGUUAUUAUGUUCAAAAAUAAAAUAUUUUCCUAUUAUUAGUAUUAUUAUUAUAAACUCUGGUCCACUCACCUUUUUUGUUUUGCGUCCCCUUUAGGAUUUAAAUUCGAGGCACAUAAUCCCGACGUCAGGACACUUCUACAUAUGUAUUCUAGAGUCUUCUCAGUAUAGGUAUCAUUCAUUUGUUCGUAUAUUUUCCUAGUAAUUCUUCCAUAUUAUUCUUAGUAGUUGUAUGCUCUGAACACGUUCUUGCCAUGAUAUUUUACGUUUUAAUUGCAUAUCUUUUACUUAAAUACAUGUUUAAAAUGGCUUCGUCACCCUCAGGUGUCGACCAUCACGUGUCUACCCUGAUAUUUAGGGAUAUCGGGGUUGGGGCGUGUCAUUUCAUGUAUGCAUUGUACUAUUAAAACAUGCAUUUUAGAAGGGGUCCACUCACAGAUACUCCAUCAUCGAAGAGCCGUAAGAAAUAGGAAUGACGAAAUCGCUGCUAAUAAUUGCACCUAAGCACAUAAAGGGUACAAUUAAUAAAACUAUACUCAAACGAUUGAAUUUCGAAAAAUGGAAGUCAUAAACGAAUUCAAGAUGUCGAAAAACAUAAAAAGGGACCUCAGGUACCCCCACACACCAUCACACGCCUCCGCAAGGUGGUAGCUCCGGCACUCAUGCACCGCCGUGGGUCGCCGAAAAAUUCGUCGACUAGACUGUGGCUCCACGCGUCGGCACCAGUGCCCCUUCAUGCGCAGGCCCACGCGCCUUCACGCGCAGCCUGGGGUUCCUGGGUUCUCUGGUUUUGGGCCUGGGCUUUGAGCUUGAGCCGAAGGGUUUCUGGGCUUAAAUGGUUGGGCCUCACGGGCCUAGGGUCAACAAGUCAAAGGCCCAAGUUGCUCAGCUUAAGGGCCUGGGGUCCAAGGUUUUCAGAAGGGUUGGGGUCUUGGGGUUAACGGGCAGGAGGCCCAAGUUCCACUCGGUCCCAAGGUCGGUUCUUUGGGGUUUUUGGGUUAGGGUUUCAAGGGAAUUCGGCUCAGAUGCAACGACCCAAAGGCCCAAAUCUACAUGGCCUUAUGGGCCUGGGUUUGGUGGGUUAAAGGGUUGGGCUUUAAGGCCAGGCCCAAGGCUCUGGGCUAAAGGACCUAGGCUUGGGGUUUUGGGUCUAGCCGACCUAAAAGCCUGGUUUCGACGGAAAAAGGAAGCUGGAGCUUCCCAAGCUCCAAUCGGCCUCAAUCUUCUACUCUAGCAUGCAAUCUACCUAUCAAAUUGAAGCUUAGGAGAAGAGGAAGAGAUUCAUACCUUUGGCACAAUGAAUGGUGGCCGAAGUUGGUCGAAAUCUGUGUUCGAAGGUCAUGGGCUCGUCAAGGAGUUUUUGGGUAGACUAUGGGUGUCCCGUGCUUCACAAAGAUGAGGGAGAGGGAGAGGGAGAAGGAGUCCACGAUGGUGGUGGUGGUGUCGACGUUGAGGAUGUUUUGGGGUGUGUGGGUGUUUGUGUGUCUCACCGGAGAGAAGAGGGAGGGUGAAUUGUGAGAGAGAUCCGAGAGUGAGAUAGAUAGUGGAAGUGAGUGAAAGAGCUCGGGGAGAAGAGAGAGAAGGAGGUAGUGGGUGAGUACUUGCCAUGUGACAAGCAGAGAGAGGUGGAGAAGUUUAGAAAAUCUGAAAAUGAGGAUUUUGAUUGGGUGAGGAUAGGGGACUAAAAUGUAAAUUUCAAAAAAUCUUUAGGGAAAUUGUGAAAUUUACAAUAAUUUGGGGGUGGGGUUUAACAAUAACCCAUAUUGCUAGAUAACUUUAUUCUUAUAGUCAAGGUCAUAUCUACUCCUUGUCGAGGCUUCUUACCGAACUCGACUUCCUCAUGCUAUUAAUUGUCCACACUUUCGUUAUUAUUAUGGUGUGACUGUUCUCACUUACUUUUACUGGGUUAGAGACCUAUGAAUUGAUUGGUGAAUAUAAUUUAAAUGUGUGUUUUCACCAAUGUAAUAUAUAUAUAUAUAUAUAUAUAUAUAUAUAUAUAUAGAGAGAGAGAGAGAGAGAAAGAAAGAAAGAGAGAGAGAAAGAGAAAGAGAGAGAGAGUUUUUCUAGCGUUACACUUAAAAUUCAAAUAAAAAAAAUAAAAAACAAUGCUGAGUUCUAGGUAAAAUGACUCAAAAGAAUUAAAGUAUGAGAUCUAGGUGGGUCCUGACACAAAGACUACUUCCCUGUCAUGUUCGUCUACCUAAAAUUGAUAUCUUUUCGUAAUGGCAUUUAAAAACUCUCUCCGAGUGUGAGAGCUUUUCUCUUUUCUUGAGAGUCUUUCCCACCUUUAGUGUGUGUAGCUUCCAACUCGUCGAUUUUGUUGUCACCGACCCUCUCUGAGGUGAGGGUUGGUGGUUGCUCUGGCCGUUUUCUUUCUCCUUUCUCCUUUCGUUCCUUUUGCUUCCUCUCUCCCCAUAUUUCCUCCCCGUUUUAUCCAGUCUGGUAUACCUUUUGGGCGUCCAUCUUCUUCGCUUCCGUUCCGGUCUGCUAUCAGGUUUCAACCCAUUUUGUUGCACUCUUCCGAGAAGGUGUGUCAAGUUACGGUUACGCCGGCUCAAGUGUUUACAACACCACCUCUUUCUUUUUGUCUGCCUUUGUUGGCAGUGUUAUCCAUGGUAUUCCCAUGGGCUUCUUUCGUUUUUUGGCUGGGACCGGUGAAUCGUUCGUGGUUGGGAGAUAAGAUAUCUCUUUGUUUCAUCUCUACGGUGUUGCUUGGUGGAAGAUGUGGUGUCGAUUUGGGUAAUUGGUUUUGGAUGAUUGGGAAGCACUGUUGCAGCAGUGGAAGCAAACUGGAAUGUUCCGGAGCUCUGUAUCAGAAUGUAGGCUUUGGGUUGGGCUUUUGUAAGAUAGUUCGGGUACCCCUUUUUGUAUUGUUAAUAUUUGUUUGUGGGAAUUUGUCUUGUAAUUAACUUUUAUAAUAAAACAUCUUCCUUUCUUCGGAAAGGAUUUGACAAAAAAAAAAAAGAAAAUUGAUAUCUUUUCCACCAAGAAUUUAGAAUUAUUAUAAAGGAAUAGAUUCAUAUGCUGUCAAACAAAUAAAAAUACGUUUUUUUUUUUAAUACAUCGAUACUUUUUGUACUAAGAGAUUGAUAGUCACACAAUAGGCAACUUAAUUUGAUAUUGAAUUUGUCAUCCAUGUGAUUCAAACCUAAAACAUGUCACUUCCAAGUGAAGAGGAAUACACCAGACCGUAGUACUGAGUCACAUAAAAACACGAACACGUAUUAUAUAUUAUUAAAUACAAAAGGAAAAAUGCCGGAUUUGAUGUCGAAGGCAGUCACAUAAUCGCCAUCCAGUUGGAAGAUUCCGGAAUAUAUACGUACAAAAAAUAGGAAGAGAAGUAGAAUCUUUUCAUGUCCGGAGUCUUUGAUGAUUGCUUCCCCUUCGAUUUUGUCUAUAAAUAAACAAUCUGCUCGUCUGCUUAUACACCCACUACUCACUCAGAGUCUCCGCUUUUUUGUAACCUUAGAAACUUUGUUCAAAUCUGAUCAACCUUCAAUGGCGGAUGAGGUGGUGUUGUUGGAUUUCUGGCCAAGCCCAUUUGGGAUGAGACUGAGGAUUGCUCUGGCUGAGAAGGGCAUCGAGUAUGAGUACAAAGAUGAGGACUUGUGGAACAAGAGCCCACUGUUGCUGCAGAUGAACCCGGUUCUCAUUCACAAUGGAAAACCGGUUUCUGAGUCCCUCAUUGCGCUUCAGUACAUUGGUUUGGAAUGACUCCACUCUUGCCCUCUGACUCUUACCUCAGAGCCCAGGCCAGGUUCUGGGCUGACUACGUCCACAUGAAGGUGAUUUUUACUCAUUAAUUUACUUAUUUGUACUAUUUUAAUUUGUUUUGAAUAUGUUUGGUUUGAAACAAUUGAAAACAUGGGAAAUAGAUUAUCUGGUUAUAUUUUUUAUGUGUAAAUGUUGAGAGUGUCUAGCAUAAGUGCUUAAAAUCUCACGUGUUGCUAACAAUGGCGGAUCCAAGAAAUAUUAUUAGGGAGGUCAGUAAGAAUAGCAAGCGCGGCGCGCAAUUUUUUUUUUAUAACAAAACUAGCAUGCAUAUUGCUAUUUCAUUGGGUCUUGGUAGACUUGAAGUCAUUUGUAAAGGUAUACUGCACACCUGUUAAUGCCUCAUUUGCGUGGGUAACUAACAUGUUCCAAGGCUACUCUCACAUGAAUGUUUAACAAAGGAAUAACAAAUUAAUUGAUAACAUUGCAUCCCAUUAAUAUGUUAGUCCAAGAAUGAUGAUGCUUUGUUCAUUCUUUGAGAUUACCAUUUCAUUUACUUUGCAUUUUUGGAUAGUCUUUUACUUGGUUCUUUUUUUUCUUCCUACAAUUGUAAUCACAACCAACAAACAAGUCAGAGGUAAAUAAUAUUAGGACUAGACUGUAAAGGGGCAUCACCUCUCUAAUGCAUUUAUCAAGCAGUUGGAAAGCAUAUAUGAAGGGCAACUCCAACCUUCACAGGGGCAGCAUCCAAGUCAUCAAUUGAGAUUCACCGAAGUUCGAAGGGUCAGCUGACCCCCCUUGUCCCUAAGUCGUUCCGCCAUUGGUUGCUAAUUGGUUUUAGGUACGGAUAUUUGAGCUGGUAAAUAAGAGAAUGUUGUUUUAGAACUUUAAGAUUAAAAGUGUUUAGGGUGUAACGGUUUUACCAUUUAGGAUUCGUAUUAGAAGGACAACUAAAUGGAAACUGGAUCUCCGUUCAUGUUUUCAGGGUUAAUAUUAUGUUCUCUUUUAAAACAUAGUUGAUUAAGGUUUCAUGUUACGGUUUCGGGUUUAAGGUUUAAGGUUUGUGAUGCAUAUUUAAAAGAUAUAAGCAGAUCUGAACUUGCUCAAAACAAUGUAUAUUAAUUUCCCUGAAAUUUAAGGGAUGUGAAAUGCAGAUGUAUGAUAUUGGGAAGAAGCUGUGGACAACCAAAGGAGAAGAACAUAUUGAAUAUUAUUGAAUAUUCUUUAAACCCUAAUAGCAGUAAAGCUGUGUUUAGCUAGGGUUUAGUGAGCUGUGUUAUUCCCUCUUCGGUGUAAAGCUUGUUAAUAAGCUGUAAAGCAUGUGUUAGAGAGUGUGGAGGUCAUCAUACUCUCAUGCUUGCUUAGCUGACUUGCUUAGCUGCCAUUGUCCCCUACUCUCCUCUCUCUUUCCCGAUUAUUCUUCUAUUUAUGCUUAAUCUUGUAAACUGUUUGAUACAAUGAAAUAUACAUUAAGGUUUUCUAUAUGGUAUCAGAGCAGUGAUCCCUCGUGGACCUGCAUCUGUGUUCUUCCGAAAUCCUACCAAAUUCAAACCAGUUAAAGCCAUUAUGGCAACAUCAUCAGAGAAAGUUUCAAAAAACGAAACUAUGGAUACCAACCUAAUUCAACGUUUGAGCUCAGUGCUCCUAAACGAAUUCAACUAUCUGCCUUGGUCACGAGCUAUUUCUCUCGCUCUUGGAGGACGUGGAAAGCUCCAGUUCAUUCAAAAGGAUGAUAUCAUGCCCGAAACAACUUCACAAGAUUAUGCAGCAUGGGUGUCCCAAGAUCAACUUAUCAUGUCUUGGCUGUUGAAUUCUAUGGAACCAAAGAUGGCUGAGAUUUUCAGUUAUUCAGUAUCAUUUCACCACCUUUGGAUUUCUGUACGAGACAUGUAUGGAGAUCUAAACAAUGCUGCGCGAGUCUUCCAGCUGAAGAAAGAUCUUACAGAAUUACAACAGGGAAAUCUCUCUUUUGUUCAACAUCUUGGCAACUUGAAGGCCAAAUGGAAUGAAUUGGAUCUCUACAGACCUCAUACCACGGACACAACCAUUCUUUUAAAGCGUGCUGAAGAAGACAAAGUGUUCCAGUUGCUUGCCAGCAUCGGACCAGAAUAUGAGGACCUUAAAAGUCAUCUCCUGAUGACACCUGAACUUCCCACCUUCCAGAUGGUCUGCAACGUUAUUCAACGCGAAGAAAUAAGGAAGAAGGUCAUGAAUGCAGUCGUUGUCGUUGGAGAAUCAGAUCUUAGGCCAUCAGAAGCAAGAGCCUUCACCUUUUUCAGACCAUACAAGGGAAAACGACCAGACUUAAAGUGUUCUCACUGUGUGAAAAUAGGUCGUCCAGGCAUUGGACACAUAAAAGAAAAGUGUUGGAUUCUUCAUCCAGAACUUAAACCCAAGUUCAAUGAUGAUGGAAGAGCACCAAGAAACCAAAUGAAGCCUGUCUACACUCCUCAAGGAAACCUUGUUUGCGACAAUGUCUUCAAAAAUGUGAUGAACUCUUCUUCUAGUCCCAUUACUCUCAUAAAUGAAUUUGCUAACUUCUUGCAACAGAAACAAGGGACAACAAAUCAUGAAAAUCCUGCAGCCAUGCUCGGCAAGUUUGCUGGCUUCCUCGAACAAUCAAGCUCAGUGUCAUAAAAUGAUGUGCUAGGUAUUGUUGCAACUAUUUCCACUGCAUUGGAUCUUAGUAGUAGCCGUGGUUUUUGGAUAGUCGACUCAGGAGCUUCUGAUCACAUGACUAACAAUGCAUCUUUACUAAAUGAUUUUCAAAACUUCUCCACUCCUUCUUUUGUCUCCGUAGCUAAUGGCACCAAAGUUAGUAUAGUAGGCAUAGGAAAACUCAAAAUCUUCUCAAGUAAAAAGGAAUCCCUUGUCAUGCAUGUCCUUUCCUUUCCUUUCAAGUUGCUGUCAGUAGGAAGAAUAACACAAUUGCUAAAUUGUCUUGCAAUUUUUUCCACUCACUGUGUGAUUUUCCAGGACCGAGUUUCGAAGGAAACGAUUGGUAAAGGUUUCUUCCUCAAUGGACUGUACUAUGUCAACUUCUCUUCAAGUUUUCCAAAAGGUUUCUACGUAAACUCAAACACAGUAAACAAGGAGCAGCUGUGGCACAUGAGAUUAGCUCAUCCUUCUUCCCAUGUUAUGUCUUUUAUUUUUCCUAGUUUCUGUAAAGAGAUUUCAGAUUGUGAAGUUUGUCAAAAAUCUAAGUCCACCAGGUUACCCUUUCCCCAUUCUCUCUCUAGAGCUACCAAAGUUUUUGAAAUUGUCCAUUCCGACAUUUGGGGACCUGCAACCUUAGAGUCUUUUGAUGGCUACAGAUUCUUUAUAUCUUUCAUUGAUGAUUUCUCUAGAACUACCUUUGUGUAUUUACUUAAAUUCAAGCACGAAGCUUUCCAGUGUUUCAAAAAUUUUCAUAACUUAGUUCAAAAUCAUUUUAACUCUAAUAUUGGCAUCUUAAGGUCUGAUAAUGGCUCUGAGUAUACUUCCAAAAUCAUGACAACUUACUUAAGUGAGCAUGGAAUCUUGCAACAAACUAGUUGUGUAGGAACACCGCAACAAAAUGGCAUUUCAGAAAGGAAGAACCGAGAUUUGCUUGAGAAAACACGAUCAUUAAUGUUACAAGCAAACCUUCCAAAGAAGUUCUGGUCUCAAGCUAUACAAACCGCUGCAUACAUCAUAAAUCGACUUCCUAGCAGAAUCUUGAAGUUUAAAUCUCCUUGUCAAAUUCUCAAGGGGAGAGAUAUUGACAUAAGUCAUCUCCGUGUGUUUGGAUGUGUGUGCUAUGUGCAUAUUCAAACUAUUCACCGAGAUAAACUUGAUCCAAGGGCUAUCAAGUGUGCAUUCGUAGGCUACUCAACUUCCCAAAAGGGAUACAAAUGCUAUGAUUCUAAAACCAGAAAGGUGUUUGUAUCCAGGGAUGUACGGUUCGAUGAGACAUACUUCUUCAAGCAUGAUGAUGAACCUCAGGGGGAGCUCUCAUAUGAAGUGUUUCCCACUCCUCUCGUCCUUGAUGAUCCAAGACUGUCAACACCGCACAAUGAAGCAAUUGAGAUAGAGCCAGCUCAUGAAAAUAUGGAAGCAAAUAAUGAAGAAGUCCUCCACGAAAGGAGAGAGCCCCUUGAACAACCUACUCCUCCACGAAGGAAUCCUUCUCGAAACAGACAACCUCCAGCCAGGCUUGAUGAUUUUGAAAUCUACAUGCCUAGAUAUCCUAUUGGACAAAUGGUUUACCAUAGCAAGACCUCCCCAUCUCAUGAAGCAUUUGUCACUAAGUUAUCUCAACACUCGGAGCCUCGAUCCUUCGAAGAGGCAAACCAAUCUCCUGUAUGGAGAUGUGCUAUGCUUGAGGAACUGAAGGCACUCGAAGAAACUAAAACUUGGAGCAUUGUUUCUCUGCCAAAAGAUCAACGUGUGGUUGGGGCAAGAUGGAUUUACAAGACAAAAUUUAACUCAGAUGGAACCAUCCAGCGGCACAAGGCAAGGUUAGUUGCAAGGGGCUUCACGCAAACCUACGGGGUAGAUUACAAAGAAACCUUUGCCCCGGUGGCAAAGAUGAACACAGUGAGAGUUCUUCUUUCGGUGGCUAUCAAUUCACAAUGGUCUCUACAUCAAAUGGAUGUAAAAAACGCUUUUCUUCAUGGAGAGUUGGAAGAAGAAGUGUACAUGCGCCUACCACCUGGUCAUGAACGAGAGAAGGAACAAGGAGUAGUAUGCAAGUUUCACAAGGCCAUUUACGGUCUCAAGCAAUCUCCAAGGGCUUGGUACUCAAAACUAAGCUCUGUCCUUAUGUCAUCCGGUUUUAAACGAAGCAAUGCAGAUUCUUCAAUGUUCACUAGGCUUGGCACACAUGGAAGAUUGGUGGUACUUGUUUAUGUUGAUGAUCUCAUUGUCACAGGAGAUAAUCCAGAAGAAAUCAAUGCUCUCAAAGCCACCUUACAUUCAACAUUCUCAAUCAAAGAUCUCGGUAGACUUAGAUACUUUCUCGGAAUCGAAAUGGAUCAAUCUCCAACGGGGUUGUUUCUAAAUCAACAAAAGUACGUUCUCGAUCUUUUAGAAGAAGCCAAUAUGAUGCAUUGCAAACCUGCUAAAACACCUCUACCAACAAAUUUCAAGCAUGAAACCUUAGGCAUCCAGCUUGAAAAUGCAUCGGAGUAUCAAAGGUUGGUAGGAAAACUUAUCUAUUUGACUAUAACUCGACCUGACAUUGCUUAUGCUGUUAGCUUUGUCAGCCAGUUCAUGCAUUCUCCCACAUCUCAUCAUCUGCAACUAGUUAAAAGGAUCAUUCGAUACUUAAAAAGCUCAAUGUCUACCGGGAUUUUCAUGCAAAACAAUGGACACUUCACCAUUGAAGGAUACACAGACUCUGAUUGGGCAGGCAACGUCCUUGAUCGCAAGUCCACAACUGGUUACUGCACUCUUGUAGGUGGUAACCUCGUCACGUGGAAGAGCAAAAAGCAAUUUGUUGUAGCUCGGUCCAGCGCAGAAGCUGAGUACCGUGCAAUGGCAUCUACUGCAUGCGAACUAAUUUGGCUAAAGAGUUUGCUACAUGAUCUUGACAUCAUCUCUUCCAAGCCAAUUCUCCUCCACUGUGACAAUCAAGCAGCGAUGCAUAUUGCUGCCAACCCCGUCUUUCAUGAACGAACAAAGCAUAUCGAGGUUGACUGUCAUUUCGUCCGCAACCAAGUCCAGUCCAAGCUGUUACAAACUGCAUUUGUUCGCUCCAGUGAUCAACUAGCCGAUGUGUUCACCAAGCCCCUUCCUUCUUCUCAACUUGAUCGUAUUCUCUUCAAGCUUGGAUCCAGAAAAUCUCUCGAUCCAGCUUGAGGGGGAGUAUUGAAUAUUAUUGAAUAUUCUUUAAACCCUAAUAGCUGUAAAGCUGUGUUUAGCUAGGGUUUAGUGAGCUGUGUUAUUCCCUCUUCGGUGUAAAGCUUGUUAAUAAGCUGUAAAGCAUGUGUUAGAGAGUGUGGAGGUCAUCAUACUCUCAUGCUUGCUUAGCUGACUUGCUUAGCUACCAUUGUCCCCUACUCUCCUCUCUCUUUCCCGAUUAUUCUUCUAUUUAUGCUUAAUCUUGUAAACUGUUUGAUACAAUGAAAUAUAUGUUGAUGCACAAAAUCAGCGAGGGCUUUGGUACAACAGAAAGUGUCAGGUUUUGUGACCUUCGCUUGGUUGCUUCGGUCACUAGUGAGGAUAAGUACGUAAAUGAAUAGAGACAGAGAAGCAAACACAGGAUGUACGUGGUUCACCCAGAUUGGCUACGUCCACGGAGUAGAGGAGUUCUCAUUAAUUGUGAAGGGUUUACACAAAUACAUAGGUUCAAGCUCUGGUUUAGUGAGUUCUAGUGAAUAGUUUAGUACAAAAUGACAUUAGAGAUUAUUGUGGGAGAAUGAUCCCUAUUUAUAGAAGAGAGUUUCUAGUUUUGUUCUAAUAUUGACACGUGUCGUGUUGUGUUGGCCUCUGAUGUUGACACGUGUCACGCUGUGAUUGGCUUCUGAUGUCGACACGUGUCGCAUUGUGAUUGGCCUCCUGGUUGAAGGGAAACUCUUCUGGGUUCUUGAUGGUAUAACGUUGACCGGUGCUCAGUAGUUUCGGGAUUGGUCAAGUAUGGUACAAACAGUGCUCCCCUAAGUUCCCGAGUGAGGGAAGCUCCUCGGUUGGGGACUUGCAAGAUCCAAGCCGCUGAGUAAUCACAAAACUUCUAAGUACCGAGGUAUGGUAUCAUUUUCACUUGCCUUAUCUGUCUCAUAUGUAGAUGUGGCAUCUUCUCUGGAAGUACUUUUCCUCCAUCCAGGGGUGGUAUCUUUAACCGAUGAAGAUGCACAAGGUAAUGUAUCAAUUUCACUUGAAGCUUACUUGUAGUUUCGGGCUUGGUCAAGUGCGAUACAAACACUAUAGUAGGAGUCCCCCAAGUCGCCGAGCUAGGAGAUCUGCCGAAAGAGGUGACAGACAAGGUAAGCAGUCAAACUUCCAAGCAAGCAACCCAGGAUCAGAGGUUUGACUUCGGCUUCCGGUUGAUUGUUCUCCUUCUCCUUGUCUCUCAUUCAACUGCCAGGAUAAGGAGAAGCAAAUGGAUAAGAUAUGAUAUGAGAUACUUUUGCUUUUGAAGAAGUAACUUUCCACAGGCUUAUUCUUGAACUGUGCUGGAGGGUUUUCUGGUUCCCUCCAGAGUAUAAGGCCGACUCAAGAAUUUGAGGGUCAAAACAAGUCCAUCAAAUCUAGAGUACGUUCGACCUUGAUGAUAUGGGAUACUUUUGUUGUUGACGGAAUAGUGAAUGUGGUAUGGAAAGGUGUCGUGAUGUAGUGAUCUGUUUCAGCUCAUCGUUGACCCUUCUGCUUCAAUCUUUUGCAUGGCAGAAAUGGUGUGCAACCUUUGCAUUUAAAUGGUCCUUCAGAACAUUCCUUCAUAGUGACUCAUCCACGCUUGGCAACUUCAGUGUAAAGAGCCAAUAUCUGAUCAACUGUCAUGAGGUAUUUGCCGGUGGAAUUCGUGACCUUGACAGCAGUUGAGGAUGAGUACUCGAGAGCAAUACUAAGUAAGCAACCAGGCAAAGGUUCCAGGCAGUCAGUUCCAGAAUUGGAGGUUUGAUUUCAGGUUCCGAACUGACUGCUCUCUUUCUCCUUGUCCUGCAGGUGUGGACAAGGACAAAGACAAAGAUAGGGAGAAAAGCAUGAUAUGGGAUACUCUUGCUUUCGACCCUGAUGAUAUGAGAUACUCUUGUUCUUGGUGUGGCUUAUUUGCUGAGGUAUUAUCAGGGGGGAAAUAAAGCUGAGUAUUUCGAGAGGUUAUGUUGAGGGUGCAUUCUCGAAUGCGAGAAAAGGUUGAGCAUUUUUGUAGGUUUGCCUGUCCGUUGAGGAGGGAGGUCGAUGUAUAUAGGGAUUUCCCAAUAACAAGUAGUAAUGCUAUUCCUUUACCCUUCUUGGUCACAUCAAUGUAGUGGGAGCUGCCAGCUUCACGUGUUUUAACUUUGUCAGAGCACUUUGAAAAAGUGGUAUGUGGUAUCUGGAAAGCUGAUGUUACGUGUGAAGAUUACAGACAAGUUUUAUCUAAGGAAAUCUAGCUCUCGAAGUUCUGAGAGUUGUGCCUCUUCGGUUUUCGAACAAGCAAUCCCGUCGAAGAUCUGACUCUCGAGAUUCGGAAAGUGGUGCUAUUUCGGUUUUUGAGAAAGUAAUUAUGUUGGGAGUCUUUGCUCGAAUGUGAGUAAAAGUUGGACGUUCUUGCCAACCUGUCUUGCCGCAAACCAAGGUUCUAAAAAACGCUAGGCGCUAGUCGGGCGGCCGGCUAGCGCCUAGCGCCUAGGCGGCUAGGCGGCGUCUAGGCGGGCGCCUAGGCGGCCUAGGCGGAUUUAGGUAAAUUUCUUGUAUAUCUUGUAAAUAAGUGCAUAUUGACACCUAAAAAAAACUAUACUUGUAUGGAUAAUAAAAUAAUGAUAAAAUGCAAAUUAGGUACACUAUUUCCAUAAGUAUUGGAUGAACUUGUAGUAAAUCCAUCAUUUGCAAAUUAGAUACACCAUUUCCAUAAGUAUACCACCAUGAAACCAAAAAAGAAAAAAGCACGCAAUUAAUAAAAAAUAAAAAAUAAAAAAAAACCUCCUAGGACCGCCUAGGACCGCCUAGGGCCGCCUAGGACCGCCUAGCCCGCCUAACCCGCCUAGCCGCCCAGCCCGCCUAGACCGCCUAGGCACCGCCUAGCCCGCCUAGGCCCAACCCGAUUUUUCCUCCCGAUUUGCCCAAAAACGCCUCGGUUGCUAGGCGCCCAGCGCCUAGGCGGCCGCCUAGGCCGUUUUUUAGAACACUGCGCAAAACAAGGAGGUUGACACACAUAGGGACUUUCCAGUUGUCAAGCAGUGGUGCUGUUCCUUUACCCUUGUGGGUAAUAGUAGGGUAGCUGGAACUUCGAAAUUCUCGUGCCUAAACUUUGUCAGAGAUAUUUGACAAAGUUAUAUGUGGUACCCGAGGAGUUGAUGGUGCAUGUGGAGAGUGGUGAUUGAACAGUAAGAUUCACGUGCUUUCUACUUCACCAGAAAUCUUCGACAGAUUGCCCGUAAUUUCCGCAAAGCUGAGUGUGCAUGUGACAGGUGCUGACGAGGCUGAAAAAGCAGGUGCUUCUUCAAUUUUUGAGAUCGGCCCUCGUGGUCUUUGAGCAGCCUAGCUUUUGAGAAAGCAAACACCUUUUCGAUUUCUAAAGCUCCGUCGAGUGCAAAUUUUUAUAGAGGCUGACAUUAAGUUCCACAGCACACUUAAAUCUCCACCAGUAGAAGCUCCCUUCUUACACUUCUAAGAUCUUGAUUUGUCUGACCUCUUCCCUCUUCAACACCUUUGAAAAUGUCUGGCCCCCUCCGACCGUCGUUUUGACUUGAACCUUGGAGAAAAGACAGCCACGCCUUCUCCAGACAACAUAUGGCGGCCAUCCUUCAUAUCCCCUACUGGUCCUCUUACCGUUGGGGAUUCUGUGAUGAAGAAUGAUAUGACCGCUGCGGUGGUGGCCAGGAACCUUCUCACUCCCAAAGAUAACAGACUACUUUCCAAACGGUCUGAUGAGUUGGCUGUUAAGGACUCUCUGGCUCUUAGUGUUCAGUGUGCAGGUUCUGUGUCUAAUAUGGCCCAACGCCUAUUUGCUAGAACCCGCCAAGUUGAAUCAUUGGCUGCUGAAGUGAUGAGUCUCAAACAGGAGAUUAGAGGGCUCAAGCAUGAGAAUAAACAGUUGCACCGGCUCGCCCAUGACUAUGCUACAAACAUGAAGAGGAAGCUUGACCAGAUGAAGGAAUCUGAUGGUAAGGUUUUACUUGAUCAUCAGCGGUUUGUGGGUUUGUUCCAAAGGCAUUUAUUGCCUUCGUCUUCUGGGGCUGUACCUGGUAAUGAAGCUUCAAAUGAUGAACCUCCAAUGCCUUCUCCUUCUGGGGUUUUGUCAAGUACUGAGGCUCCGGAUAACCACCCUCCGGUGCUUUCUCUUUCUGGGCUCUACCGACUGCUGAGACUUUCCCCUAAGCAACCUUUGUGAAGGCUUCCCUUUUGUUUGUUUUAUUUUGACUCAUGUAUAUGUACAUAUUUGUGGCUUUAUCGAAAAUAUUAAUAAAUAAGCUUUGCUUCAUUUCAACAUAUUGUGUUAAAUACACCAAAGCCUUCUUCAGAAAGUUCUUUGAAUUUUUUCUUUUGUUGAAACUUGUAUUGUUAAAGCUUUGUGAGUGAAGCAUGUAGUUUGAGGUAGUGUUCCCUUAAUUUCCCGAGUGAGGAAAACUUCUCGGUUGGAGACUUGAAAAAUCCAAGUCACUGAGUGGUUGUGAGACUGCCGAGUAUCAAGGUGCAGUAGCAUAUGGUGGGAGUCCCCCAAGUCUUCAGGCGAAGAGAGUUGCCGAAUGAGGUGUCUCGCUUUUUACUAAUUUGUCAGAGUAACGAAUCCUUGUUUCGAUGUCACACAUUCGUAUAUGCCUUAUCUAAAAAUAUUUCCAACUUUUGUGUGUUUGAUGCUGCAUGCUAUUGACUAGACAAGAUCAAGUGCAAUUAGUAGCUUUUCUCUCUUUUUCAUCUUUUCUUUGGUGGAAUUGCUUUUCGUUUCCACUAAUCAGCCUGAGUGGAUGCAAGAUAACACCAUUCUCUAUGGCUCAGAUUGCAAAGUCGUCUUCAUAAAAGUUGUUCCUUAUCUUGUGAACUACAACAUAUCCAAAUUUGAGAUCCAUCGGAGUAGUACAACUUCAGAAAUUCAGGUAUGAUGAGUAACUGUUCAUCAAUUUUCUGUUAACCCGUUAGACUUGUUGUGAGCUCCGAAACUCCAUUUUCUCUUGUUCAGAUCAACAUACUUUCUUCAUCGAUGUUGUUCCGCACCUUGUCAGCUACAACAUAUCCAAAUUUGAGACCUAUCGGAGCAGUACAAAUCCAGAAAUUCAGGUAUGAUGAGUGACUGUUCAUCAUUUUUCUGUCAACCUGUCAGACUUGUUGUGUGCUUUGAAACUCCAUUUUCUCUUGUUCAGAUCAACAUACUUUCUUCAUAGAAGUUGUUCCUUAUCAUCUCUUUCAUGACAUAUCAAAAAUUCAGAAGGAACUAACGGUUAAAUAUUUCCAGAUCUUCGAAACAUCACAGCAGUCUUCGAAAUGUGCGGGAAUCCGACUGUCAUGUUUGGAGCCUCAACACUUUAAUUUCCGUCGCUCAAACAGAAACGAUUCCUUCUUGAAAAUUGUUCAUCUGCGCAAGAACUAUAGGGUGUCCAAAAUUCAGCUCAACUGGAGAAGAGCAAAGGUUGCAGAAAUUUGAUAGAUGAAAGGAGGCGGAAGAGGAAGACAGGGAAAGAAGUUGCUUGGGUUGGAUUUCUAGUUAAACUUGGGAUUUUGGUUUGUUGUUUGAUUUAUUAUAAUAUGUUUGGAAACAUAUACAUAAUUUCUUGUUUGUUUAUGACAGGGAUGUUGUGGGUGUAGAACAAAACAAAUGUUUGUGUUGACCUAUGUUUUUGUACAAGUUCAAGGGAAUCUUGGUUUUGUGAACAAAAUUUGUUUAUUUGUCACAAGGUUUUGUGUUUGGGAAAUAGUUUAAUAGGUAAGGUUUAUUGACUAUAGAUUUUUGCUUGGGUAUAUAGCGUGACUAGUUGAAGCUAUUUUUAGGAUACAAAACUUGAAUUAGCUUCGCACUAUCUUGAUGAAGAGUGUGCGAAGCUUUUAUAUGUUUUGGUGUUGAAAUUUUGUAUUGUAGGUGAAGCAUUGGGGUUGAAGCUUGAUAUGUGAAGCUUUAUAGGUGAAGCUUUGGUGUUGAAGCUUUAUAGGUGAAGCUUUGGGGUUGAAGCUUGAUAUGUGAAGCUUUAUAGGUGAAGCUUUGGGGUUGAAGCUUUAGAGGUGAAGCUUUGGUGGUGAAGCUUUAUAGGUGAAGCUUUGGUGUUGAAGCUUUAGAGGUGAAGCUUUGGUGGUGAAGCUUUAUAGGUGAAGCUUUGGUGUUGAAGCUUUAUAGGUGAAGCUUUAGAGGUGAAGCUUUGGUGGUGAAGCUUUAUAGGUGAAGCUUUGGUGUUGAAGCUUUAUAGGUGAAGCUUUGGUGGUGAAGCUUUAUAGGUGAAGCUUUGGUGGUGAAGCUUUAUAGGUGAAGCUUUGGUGUUGACACCAUAAAUUGAUUGUGUUUCGCACUAUCUUGAUGAACAUAGUGCGAAGCCUUUGAGAUUGAUAUUUGUCCUCCAUUGAUGAAGCUUUUGUUGGCACCAUAAAUUGAUUAUGCUUCGCACUAUCUUGAUGAACAUAGUGCGAAGCCUUUGAGAUUGAUAUUUGUCCUCCAUUGAUGAAGCUUUUGUUGGCACCAUAAAUUGAUUGUGCUUCGCACUAUCUUGAUGAACAUAGUGCGAAGCUUUUGAGAUUGGGAGUUGAAUCCCAUUGAUGAAGCUGCUGUGUUCCCCCUUCCCCUUUUUUCGGAUUUUUUGUUUGUUUUUUUUUGUUUUUGUUUUUUUUUCGGUUUUUUUUUUUUUUUUUGUUGGAGGGGGGGAACUGAAACAUUUGAAAUUUGAAACUCCUUAAUGUUAGAAGUUUGAAGAUUCUCCAUGUGGGGCUUUCUCAUGGUUUGAAUUUGAAUUUUGAAUGUUAAUAGCCAUGUUGAACUAUAUAUAAAAAGGAUAAGUUUCCAUUCUUUACCUUACCUUCAUUUGCUCAUCUUGUAGUGAUUUUUGAAGACAUAGUGCUUUUUACUUGAGAGGGAUUCUAGCAUUGCUUUGCUGCACCAUCUUCAGGUUGGUAGUCUUCUCCACUACAUUGGAUGUUUUCCUUUUUGUUGAAUUGUUGGAAUGUUCAUGUAUUUUGUGACGAACAUAAUGAACUGGUUGAGCUGUUCUUCAUGCCCUGUGAGCUUCCUUAUGUUUUGAUCCUUCAUGUAGUAAUAGAGUUUGUUUCUGUUUGUUGUAGAUGUCGGAGUCUGGAAGUCUUAGUGAUGAGGGCUCCCCUAGCUCGGGCUCUAGGUUUGAGCCUGCAAUGUCGGGGUCUUCAUGGCCUUUGUUAGAGUCUUGUACAAAAGAAACGUUGGAUGAUCCUCACAAUUGUCAAACCUUAGCCAAUAUUGGUUCUUCCUCCAUGUUAGUGGGUGAGGGGGUUGUUUGUGACGCCAUACCCAUAUGUCGUUCUGAUCCUCACAAUUGUCAAACCUUAGCCGAGAUUGGUUCUUCCUCCAUACGAGUGGGUGAGGGGGUUGUUUGUGAUGCCAUACCCAUAUUUCGCUCUGAGUUCACAGCGGACCAUUUAGAAAAUAACUUGUUAGAUAGCGAAAAGCAGCUUGAGGCCCUAAGGCAAUCAUGUAGUAUCCCCCGUAGUGUAGGAAUACGUUUGGUGCGUUGUGAAGAAUUGCCUUCGGAGCCGCCCAAGGGUCAUGUUAUGUUCUACCGAGACAUUAGUGACCUUGGGGGUAAAUUUACCUUUGCAUCCGUGGUUGCAACGAAUGCUGGCUUUUAUUGGUUAUGCACCUGGGCAACUCAACCCUGGUUUCUGGGAUACCUUGAUCGGGUUUUAUAUUAUUUGAAUGGAGUGUGGAUUAGGUGAGCCUUCCUUCCAUCAAUGGCGCUACUGUUAUAAGAUGCGCCCGGUGAAAGCAUGUACUGGUUAUGCUGAAUGUGCAUGUCGGAGCGAGAGAGAGCGUGUUGUCUGUAAUAAGAGAAAGUCGUACUGCACAUGGAAGAAACGUUGGUGCUUUCUUUAUAAUGAUUGGGAGCAUGCUAAGGGUGUCACGCCUGAGCGACGUGUUCCUACUCACUUCCAAACUGUAGGUUGUAAUGUAUCCAUUUUCUCAUUAUUUGCUAUUGUUGUGAUUUUCUCUUGCUUCUAAGAUUUUUCUUCAUGCAGUGACACGAGGCACCAUCAAACUCUCCGGACAGGAGCUAGCUGAUGUAGAGAAAGUGCUGAGGGUGCCUAAAGAAGAUAGAUACUUGGGUAAGCUACGUCCCUUGUUUCGAAAGUACGGUUUCCAGCCCUUAGUUUCCGAGUGCCAGAGACGAGCGAGUAAGUUGUAUCCUCACUUGAUCCUUGUUCUUCCCUUUUUUUUUUAUAGAUAUAUAAUAUGGUAUUCCUUACUUUGAUUUUCCUUGUUCAGUGGAGAAGGUGGGCAAGAAAGUGGAGACUAGCACCAAGAAACGGAGAGUUCCCAUGUUAGUUCCUUCAGAAGACAUCCUGUUUCACAAGGAAGCUCGCAAGCAUUGAGUGAGACCAAUUAUUAAAACUAAGUCUCGAGAAGAAGUCAUCAAGGUUGCUACCUCGAAGAAAGCUGAAGCUGAGGCCAUUGGAUGUGCUGCUGCCAUAGUUGCCGGGGAAGAUAGGCGAUUGCUGCCUCCUCUUCCUACUAUUAAUCCCAUCUUUCCUCCAGUUAGGGAACACAUUGGGCAGGAAGGUGAUCCUAGUUCUAGCAGCAAGGGUAAAGAUAAGGAAGAGGUUGACAGUGUCCCUUAGAAGGAUUUGAAGGUUGCCAUGCGGCCAAAGGACUUUGGGUAUAUCAACAAUUGCCUGGCAGGUUCGAUGAGCUCAGAGAACCCUUAGCUAAAGAUGAAUCGGAUUGCGACCGGAUGUUGAAACUGUCUUCAUAUGUGAGUGUUACUUUGUCAUUCCCUUGUUUUCUCCUCUUUAUUAGCAUUAUUUUAGUAGUGAUGAUCGUCUUGUCAUGCAGGUCAUGGUUGAGUAUCACGACAGACUGCGAGAGGCUGAACGGUGCAAGGUGAAAUUGGAAGAGAAUAAGCAGCUUGUGAAUGAUGCCAGGAAGACGAGCAAAGCUUUAGCUGAGGCCAUCCAAGUCAAGGAUCAACAUUUUGAAAGUUUGAAGAGGCGGAAUAGUGAGAACUUGAGACUCAAGGUACAGUUGGAAGCGACUAAGAAACAGUUGGAGACAACUAUGCUCGAGGUUUCCAAGGUUAAAGGGGAGUUGGAUAGUGCCUUGGUUGAGGUUUCUGAGCUGAAGAGUAGUAUCCCGGCUGAGAAGGAAGCUGCUGUGAAUGAGUUCUUGGGUUCCCAAGCCUUUCUCCAUGUCCUUAUACCUCGCUGUACCCGGGAAGUGCACUUUGAAAAAAGAAAGUGGAUGGCUGUCCUUGAUCGUUAUGAUGAUGGAAGUGUUCUUCGAAAAUACCGUGAAGAAAUAGAUGAGCAUCAUCGAAAAGGUGAAACCUUCGACCUUGCAGUUUAUUCGAGCAGUGCAGAUGAGUCUGGCGAUGAUGCUAGUGCUGAUGAGCAGAGUCAUCAGGGUGAUGAUAAGGUUGGAGAUGCAGAAAAUGGCGGUAGGACUCAGAGUGAUAUGAUCAGGGGUUCAACCUCAGAGGAGGAUGACUAGAAAUGCUUUCACUUUCUGCAUGUACUCUGCCUGCACUAGUUUGUUGUUUGUAUGGCAUAUGCCAUGUUAUAAGCUCGAGGGGUUUUUUUUUUUUUUUUUUGUAUGUUUAUGAGUGUUUGCAUUAUCAAGCAAGUGUUUGUAUUAUCAAGCUUCAAUUGUUUGCCCUAUCAUUGAUGAAUGUUUGGCUAUGUUUGCAUAGAUCCUUUGUAUAGUCUUGUUGACAUAUACCUAGAUUUUAUUUUGUAUUGGAAACAUGUGCGUUGAAGCUUCAACACUUGAGUGUUUCAUUGCUCAGAAUGUAAAAGAGUUUAGGGCUGAGUUGGCUAAAUCACCUCUUUAUUGAAUUCAUACCAAAUGGUCUUUGUUACAUAGGAUGCCGAACGGCUGUAGCUUAACACUUAUACAAUGUGAGUCUAUUUGUAAUAGUACUUCAAGUGGUCAGCAUUCCAUGGAUGGCCAAAGGUCUUGCCGUCUGAGCUUCUGAGCUUGUAGGAGCCAGGGCGGCUAAUGCCGACGACCUCGAACGGUCCGUCCCAGUUAGGACUGAGUGUUCCUUCACUCGGGACUCUAUCACAGAGUAAUCUUUUCUUCAGUACCCAGUCUCCCACUUUAAAAGAGCGAGGUUUGACCCUUGAGUCGUAGUAGUUGGAGAUGCGCUGCUUGUAGGCGACAUUCCUCAGGUGAGCCUGAUUUCUGUGUUCCUCGACUAGAUCCAGGUUGAGGGUGAGUUGCUUGUCGUUCUCACUCUGUAUGUAGUUCUGGAUUCGGUAUGUUGCUUGCUUAAGCUCAAUCGGGAUAACUGCUUCUGUACCAAAAGCAAGUGAGAAUGGAGUUUCUCCUGUGGAAGUCCGAUAUGAAGUGCGAUAUGACCAAAGAACUUGGGGUACGAAUUUUGGCCAACAACCUUUAGCUUUGUCCAAGCUAGUUUUCAGAGUGCGCUUGAUUAUUUUGUUAACGGCCUCGACUUGUCCGUUAGAUUGAGGAUGGGCUGGAGAGGCAAAACAUAAGUUGAUGUUGAACUUAGAGCAGAACAUCUUGAACUUCUUGUUGUCGAACUGCCGCCCAUUGUCCGUGACUAUCGCAUUGGGAAUGCCGAAUCUGCAGAGGAUGUUCUUCCAUACGAAGUCUUCUAUUUUUCCCUUAGUAAUGGUUGCCAAGGGUUCUACUUCAGCCCACUUUGUGAAGUAGUCAACUGCAACGAUUGCAUAGCGGACCUUGCCUUUCCCUGCAGGCAUUGGGCCUAUCAAAUCAAGUCCCCAUUGGGCAAAGGGCCAAGGGCUGAUCAUAGGAGUGAGCGGCUCGGGAGGGGAGUGAGGGAUAGUUGCGUAGCGUUGACACUUAUCACAUGAGCGUGAUAUUCUGAUGGCAUCCUGGUGGAGUGUUGGCCAAUAGUAUCCUUGGCGAAAAGUCUUGUGUGCUAGGGAUCGAGACCCAGCAUGAUCUCCGCAGACUCCUUCAUGUAUUUCCCGAAGGAUAAUUUCCGCCUCCGCAGGUGUAAGGCAUCUUAGGUAUGGCAGGGUAAAACUGUACUUGUAGAGUUGGUCAUUAAUGAUCAGGUAUCGGGCAGACUUGUAUCGAAUCUGCUUAGCUUGGACUUUGUCAAUUGGGAGGCUGCCAUGAGCAAGGAAUUUAUAAAUUGGGGUGAUCCAAUUAUCUCCUUGCUGUAAAUUGCACACUUCCAUGACCAUGGUGCUUGGUGCUGCCAACAAUUCGACAUGAAUUUUUCUCCCAAUCUUGUCUUCCACUGCCGAGGCGAGGCGAGCCAAAACGUCUGCAUGACUGUUUGCCGCUCGAGGAACUUGGGUGAUUUGGUAGUGGAAGUGCUUGAGCAAAAGUCGCGUUUGCGCAAGAUAUGCUGCCAUGGAGCUAUCCUUAGCAUCAAAGUUGUUCGUGACUUGGUUGACCACUAAUUGGGAGUCACUGAAGUUAUCAAUUCGUUUAACCCCGAGGUGCUUGGCCAAACGUAAGCCUGCUAGAAGGGCUUCGUAUUCGGCCUCAUUGUUCGAUGCCUUGAAUUUGAAACGAAUAACAUAUUCCAUCACCACUUUGUCGGGGGUAGUGAGGACUAAUCCUGCUCCGCAGCCCUGUUGGUUGGAUGAGCCAUCAACAUACAGACUCCAUGCUGGGGUUGUUGAUUCUAUCUUCUGAGCUUCCGAUGGUAAUGAAGCUAUUGCUUCAGGUGUAGAAGCAAUGUCAACAGGAUGUGUGAAGUCGGCUAUGAAAUCUGCUACAGCCUGACCUUUUUCGGCUGGUUUUGGUUGGUAGGAGAUGUCAAACUCACCCAAUGAUAUCGCCCAUUUGAUCAUUCACCCAGACGUGUCAGGACUCUGGAGUAUCUGUCGAAGAGGGUGAUUGGUAAGCACGAUAAUGGCGUGUGCUUGGAAAUAAGGGCGAAGUUUUCGAGCAGACAUGACCAAUGCUAAAGCUAAUUUCUCAAUGUUGGAGUAUCAUGUCUCCGCAUCUUGUAGGGCCUUGCUAGCGUAGUAAAUAGGCCUUUCGACCCCACUGUCCUUUCGAAUAAGAACAGAACUAACUGCUGAAGCCGAAACCGAUAGAUAGAUAAUGAGAGUGUCACCAACUUCUAGUUUGGAGAGCAGAGGGGCUUUACUCAUGUACUCUUUGAGGUUCCUGAAUGCCUUGGCACAUUCCUCCGUCCAUGUAAUGUACUUCUUAUUUCCCUUGAGUGCUUUAAAGAAAUGAGCACAUUUGUCUGUGGCCUUAGAGAUGAAUCUGGUUAAGGCUGCCACUUUGCCAGUAAAGCUUUGGAUGUCUUUUGAAGUUACUGGCUCUUUCAUGUCGAGGAUUGCUUUGAUCUUUUCGGGGUUAGCUUCAAUGCCUCGUUGGCUAAUCAUGAAGCCUAAGAAUUUGCCAGAGCCCACACCGAAGGCACAUUUGUUGGGGUUCAACCUCAUUCGAUACCUCUUUAGAAUGGUGAAAGUUUCAGAUAGGUUGAUGAUGUGUUGGUCAGCAUGUUUGCUCUUGACUAACAUAUCAUCAACGUAAACUUCCAUGUUCUUCCCAAUCUGUUCGGCGAACAUUGAAUUGACUAGUCUCUGAUAAGUUGCUCCUGCAUUCUUUAGGCCGAAAGGCAUGACUUUGUAGCAAUAUAGUCCCCUGUCAGUAGUGAAGGUUGUGUGUUGGUCUGAGGGGUUCAUGAGGAUUUGGUUGUAUCCUAAAUAAGCGUCCAUGAAGCUCAAGAGCUCACACCCUGCCGUAGAGUCUAUAAGUCUAUCAAUGAGAGGAAGGGGGAAAUUAUCCUUCGGGCAUCCUUUGUUUAGGUCGGUGUAGUCGACACAUAUUCUCCACAAGACCUUUUGAAGCAGGAGACUUUCCUUGGUCGGAUUUUUCUUAACAAGGACAACAUUUGCUACCCAUGUUGGGUAAUUGACUUCACAGACGAAGCCUAUGUCCUUGAGUUUUUCAACUUUUGCUUUCAUCGCCUUGUAUCGUUCAACAUCAUAAGAUCUUCGCUUCUGUUUUACUGGUUUGGUCUUGGGAUCAAUACUCAAGUGGUGACAAAUGAUAUCGGGAGAGUUGCCCGGCAUAUCUUUAUAUGACCAAGCGAAAACCUCAGCGUUCUCUUGCAAAAAUGAGAUCAGUGACAACCGAAUGGGUGGUGACAAAGUAGUGCCAAUCUUCACCAUGCGGUCUGGAUGGUCUUUGGAGAUAGAGACCUUCUCUAACUCUUCAGCGGGUUGUGCUUGCUGGGUGAAUGAGUCAUCUCGAGGGUCGUCGGGUUGACUGUUGCCAUCCUGAAGACCCGAGUUGGAUUCAUCUAGACUGGUCUUUACGACUUGGUUAUGUAUAGAGAGAGUCUCCUUGGGGACAGACAGGUGUUGUUGUUUGACUGAAGUGUUGUAACAUGAUCGAGCACUAAGUUGAUCUCCCCUGAUGUACCCAUUGCCGAAAAGGGUUGGAAACUUCAUCAACAACAUAUGUGUGGAUACCAUGGCCUUGAGAUCAUUGAUGCCUGUGCGCCCAAAGAUGACAUUGUAUGCCGUCGGGCAGUUGACCACUAGGAAGUUAGUGGUAAUAGUAGCUGUGUAGGGGCCUGUACCAAUGGUGAAGGGUAAGUGUAUACUCCCUAAAGGUUGCACGAUAUUGCCAGAGAAGCUUAUCAGAGGAGAAAUCGAGCGAUCGAGCAAGUGUUCCGCUACAUUAAGUGCCUUGAAAGCUUCAGCAAACAUGAUAUUGACUGAAGCACCUGUGUCUAUCAGGAUUCGUUUCACAUCAAAAUUUGCUAUGUGAGCUUCCACGAUCAGCGGGUCAUUGUGAGGGUAGAUGACACCUCUUUCUUCCUCAGGGUAGAAACAUAUUGGAUCCCAGUUAGGCUUUUGAUACUUGCCUCCUCUGAUGUCUUCCACGUGAAACACUUGAUGGCCAGGUCUCAAAGUUCGUUCACUGCUUUUCAUGGCCCUAUUGGAAGAUUCAGACAUGGGUGUGCCGCCGCUUAUGGAAUAUAUCACAUUCACCUGGCGUUGGUUACGGUUAUCCCUUAGAGGGUGAAGGAGAAACUGAUCAAUUUUUCCUUCACGUGCCAGAGCUUCAAUAUGGUCACGGAGGAUAAUGCACUUUUCACUAUCAUGGCCAUUAUACCCGUGGUAGCAGCAAAACAUUCCCGUGUUCUUCAUGGACUUGUAAUCUGGCUGUCUUGGCUUUGGCUUUGGUAUCAGGUGAGCUAUACUAGGGUAGAUGGCAACACAUGUAGCAUUCAAAGAGGUGUAUGUCUCAUACCUCGGGGUAGGGCCUGUCUUGACACGUGAUUGGCCCACUGCGUUGACUGCCUGGGGGCGGGCAUUAUUGUGACGAUAUCCUGAGUUAUCGCGAUAGUGCCCCUUAUUCUUUUUAUUAAAAUGAGAUUGGUGAGGAUGGAAGUCUUUCCUUUUGCCCUGAGAUUGAUAUGUCUGCUGACUUGGCGAAGCAUUAAAUGAGGCAGGUGGUGUGCUGCUACCAUUUGGAAGGUUGAGGUCUUUUCAUUCGGUUGGAUCUGGCCUCCACUCCCUACUUGCUGAUAAGGGGUGACUGUAGGGGGUUUCCCUUGAUAUGUCCUUGCCUCGGCGGAGGCAUGGUUGUAAGCUUGUGUCAUCACCUCAGAGUAAGUCUUCCAAGUGUUGGCAUUGAUCAUGUACUUGAAGAAACAGUCACAUAAGCCUGCCGUGAAAGCCUUGAGGGUGGUCUUGUCAUCUGCCUCAGCGCAGCGAGAAUACUCAUGGCUGAAGCGGCCAACGUACUUUCGUAAUGACUCGUCCGGCUUCUGGCGAAUAGUGUACAAGUCAUCUGCGGAAUGCAAGCGAUCGGUUUGGAAGAUGUGUUGAGAGACAAACAGCUUCCUCAACUCUUCAAAUGAGUCUACUAUCUCAGGUGGAAGACGACAAUACCAGUUUAAAGCUCCGCCAGAGAGGGUGGAGGGGAAGAGAAGGCACCGUUCUUCGUCGGUGUGUCCCCGGUAUACCAUGGUGGACUCAAAGAGGUUAAGGUGUUCAAUCGGGUCUUCCUUUCCAGUAUAGAGCUGUAAGUCAAGCUUCUGCUUUGUCUUCGCUUGGAGGGGAGUGUUGAGGAUCCUUCUUGUGAGAGGGCCAGGCCUGGGUUGGUUCCAAUCAGGUAUCUCGGCUUGACGUUCAGCCUUCAGCUUGUUUACUUCCUCAAGGAGCUGCAUGACAAGGGGGUCCUGAGCGGAGUCGUGCACCACCGAAGUUUUCUUCUUUAAGCCCCCAUCGCCUCUUGGAAGUAGGAAAGUUUGAUCAAGAUAGCGUGAUCUUUCUUUGGACUCGCCACACUGACUUCUAGAGUGAGUAUGUUGGAAUGUUUCCGAGUCCCCAGUACCUUCGUAUUCUUCUGGGACUUGUUGCCCAUUCUCUAGAUUGGCGGCUGGCCUGGGUCGUGGAAGAGGACCGAGUCUUUCAGAAACCCUUGGGUCAUGGAUCUUCGAGCUUAUGUGGAUGGGAUUCUCUCGACGUUGCUUUAGGAAGUCUCGACAAUCGCGAUAGACAGCUUUUGAUCCUUCCACUCCCUCUGUGAGGAGGUGUUUUCCUCUACUUCUCCUGCUUUGGGUUGAAUCAGCUGGGUUGAGAGAAGUCUCAUGUUGAUUAUCACAUUGAUGUGUAGCUCGAUCCCUAUCAGGGAUGUCCGUGUCGGAUAUCGGCGACCCUCCGUGUUGGGGGGCAUUCAGUUGAUUGUUAACCUCAACAGGGGCGACGAGCUUAUGUGUUUGAGCCUGCCUAGCCUCGUGAAGCAUCUCGAAAAGUUUUUCAUAUUGUUCCUGGAGGACUUCAUUCUUCAUUGCUAUAUUGUUGUUCUGAACCUCCAGCUCAUCGACUUUAGCUUGAAGAGUAACUCUAUUUCCUUCCUGCUUUCGUUGCUUCAUACUAGGUCCAGCGGGGGUGUCAUUCUGUGUGAUGUGGCUUCUUUCGCUCCCCAUGUCGGAGAGAGAUGCUUGGCCAAAAGAAAGUGUACGAAUGGUGGAAACCAGCUUGACAGAGCUGUAGAGAGUAGGAAUAAGUGUGUUUCCUACAGACGGCGCCAAAUGUUGAUGCACAAAAUCAGCGAGGACUUUGGUACAACAGAAAGUGUCAGGUUUUGUGACCUUCGCUUGGUUGCUUCGGUCACUAGUGAGGAUAAGUACGUAAAUGAAUAGAGACAGAGAAGCAACCACAGGAUGUACGUGGUUCACCCAGAUUGGCUACGUCCACGGAGUAAAGGAGUUCUCAUUAAUUGUGAAGGGUUUACACAAAUACAUAGGUUCAAGCUCUGGUUUAGUGAGUUCUAGUGAAUAGUUUAGUACAAAAUGACAUUAGAGAUUAUUGUGGGAGAAUGAUCCCUAUUUAUAGAAGAGAGUUUCUAGUUUUGUUCUAAUAUUGACACGUGUCGUGUUGUGAUUGGCCUCUGAUGUUGACACGUGUCGCGCUGUGAUUGGCUUCUGAUGUCGACACGUGUCGCAUUGUGAUUGGCCUCCUGGUUGAAGGGAAACUCUUCUGGGUUCUUGAUGGUAUAACGUUGACCGGUGCUCAGUAGUUUCGGGAUUGGUCAAGUAUGGUACAAACAAUAUACAUUAAGGUUUUCUAUAGAACAGGAUGUCUUACCCAGUGCACAAGGCUCCCGCUUUACGCAGGGUCUGGGAGAGGUCAAUGUCUCGGCUCAAAACAAUGUAUAUUAAUUUCCCUGAAAUUUAAGGGAUGUGAAAUGCAGAUGUAUGAUAUUGGGAAGAAGCUGUGGACAACCAAAUGAGAAGAACAGGAUGUCGUACCCAGUGCACAAGGCUCCCGCUUUACGCAGGAUGCAGCAAAAAAAUGAUUUCUCGGCUGCCUCGGCGUGCUAGAAUGAGAGCUCGGAGGCAAGCCCUUCUUUGGGGGGGAGACCCUCGGAUUCGUGGACGUGGCGCUGAUUCCAUUAUAGUCGGUUUUUUGUGUAUGAAAAACUUGGCAACUUCAGUGUUGAGGCAGAGCACCCAAAGUUUAUUGUCUGGGCUAAAAGGUGCUUGGAGAAGGAGAGCGUGUCAAAGUCGCUCCCCGAGAAGGAAAAGGUCUACGAUUUCGUCAUGCUUUUUAGGAAAAAGCUUGGAAUUGAGUAGAUUUUGGUGGCAGCCUGGCAAGAAGCUAUUGAUGAUCAGUGUCAUUCCAACUUGUUAGGUCGUGUGGUUGUUUUGUCUUUCAAGAUUCUGUUGGAAUGUAUUAAGAUAUAUACUUUAGACUAACAGGAAAUCCUAGAACACCAUUUUGACAAUUAUAUCUCAGUUUCUAACCUGCAGUAGACGUGGUAGUGAUUCAAGAAGAUUCUUCUACUACUGGGAGACCAGUAUACUCUUAUGGUGAUAGUCCCAAAAGCGAAGAGUGUUUUUCUUUGUGCGCAGGGAAUCCAAUAUAUAAAGCAAGGUUUACACAACUUCCAUCUAUCGUGGGAGUUAGUUACAUACCCUAUUGCUUUCAGUCCCAAUCGUGGAUGAGUCGUGGAUGAGUGGGAUUAAGUACGUGCUUUAGUUUGAAACACUAUGGAGUAACUCCUCAAUUAUAGGGAAUGGUUUUACAUGUAUACAAAACUCAUACUGAUUUAUAAUUAAAACAUCCUGACUCAUCUUUAUCACAACUAGUUGAGUCCAAUAAGGAUUCUUACAGAUUCAACCUGUUUUGGGUUGUUGAAUUAGAAUAAAAAGGCACUUGACCAAUCCUUCUCGAGGUUUAAAUACAGCAAUGCCCUAACAACACCGAACGACACCCCCCCUCCCCUUUCGAUGUUGAAUCACCACUAGACAACAAUACCCUUAAUGGUGCCACAAUUACACUCCAAUGGUUUUAAAAACAACCAAAAACCCAUUUUCAAAUAACUCCAUUUAACAAAAAAGGACUUAAAACUAAAAUUCUUAGGAUUUUAAACCACCAAUUUAACAACAAUCUGAUGACGCCACAACAACACUCCAACAACAUUCCAACGAUACUCCCGACUUCAUGAUUUGAACCAACACAACUACAAUAACAGUUUGAUGACGCCACAACGACACUCCAACGAUACUCCCCCUUUUAUGAUUUUGGACCAACACAAUCACAACAACAAUAUGAUGAUGCCCCAAUGAUACACCCACUGAUUUUGAACCACCUCAGCCGCAACACUUUAUUCAAGAAACCCUAUCCUUCUUUAUUCCCAACCACCACAACCUAAUUUCAAAUCCAAAAAAUGGAAUAAUUGAGCCAAAGCAAGAUGAAAGAGAGAGAGGAAGAAGAAGAAUGGAUUUGGGAGGUGGAGCAAUAAGAAGCUUACCUCCUUCAUGGUGUUCAAGAUAUUUUUCACUGCUCCAAAUUUGAUUAGUCAAGACGGAGCAACCAAAGAAUGAGUCUGAAAAUGGAUUUGAUCAAUGAAGGACAUGUUGACCAAUAUAAAGAUUAACAAAGGGCAAUAUGGACUUUUCACAAGUAAAAUUGAUCAAAAGAACAAUUUUUAAAAAGUGUAAUCAAAAGUGCAAUCAAAUUUCAAAACAUGUCUAUUGUGGCUAAUUACCCUGUUAUCUUUUGAGAUCAUAAUUGGAUCUAGCCUCUAACAAAACCACUAAAUAAAAGCUAGUAAUGGUAACCCCAUAAGUUAUAUUGGCCAAUACGUCCACGAGUGAGACUUAGGGCUGGUUUGGUAUUGCUGUGCUUUGAAAAAAAGCUGUUGUGAGAAUAAGCGGUUGUGCUGUGAGAAUAAGUGGCUGUGAAAUAAAUCAGCAGAGUGUUUGGUAAACUUUUUUGUAAAAGUGCUUUUGGAAAAAAAAGUAGUCUGAUAGUGAGUCUUUUCAUUAAAGGAGCACUGUAGCUCUGUGUGCUUUGAAAAAAAGCCAGUUUUCUAAAGCUGCAAAUAGUAGCUUCAGCUUUUUCUUUUGAUUUCAGCUUAUUCUCACAGCAGCUUCCAAAAUAAGCUUUUUUUUUUCAGUUUACCAAACACCUAAAACCUUCACAGUUUUUUUUCAUAUGUGCUUUUUUUUUAAGCACCUCACUCCCAAACCCAACCUUAUUACUAUAAAAGUGGUCAAGAGUGACAGUAACCCAUAUGCGCGAUAAAUUUAUACUUAUGGUCGUGGUCAAAUCUGCUCCAUGUCGAAGCUCCUUACCGAACUUGACUUUCUCGUGCUAUUAAUUGUAAAAACUUUUGUUAUUAUUAUGAUGUGAUUGUUAUCAUUGGCCUUUAAUGGGCCAGAGACCUAUCCGUUGAUUGGUUAAUAUGGUUUAGGAGUGUGAUUUCAUCAAUAAAAUAUAAAUAUACAGUUUUUCUAGCAUUACUUUAUAAAAAACCUAUGCCAAGUUAUGAGUAAAAGAGUAAUGCUAGAGAGACUAAAUUUGUAGAUAAAAUUUGUAAACCACAUAACAUGAAAGUUGAUGAUUGAAUUAUUACUUAAGCCUUGAGAAAUAUGUUUAUUUCCUAUUGGUGACAUAUCAUUCAGUUUGCAAAUUUUGUCUACAAAUUUAAUCUCCUUAUGAUUACCUUAAGUAAAAUAACUCAAAAGAAUUAAAGUAUGAGCUCGAGGUGGGUCCUGACACAAAACUACCCUGCUUGUUCAAGUUUGUCUACCAAAAAUUGAUAUCUUUCCCACCAAGAAAAUAGAAUUACUAUAAAGAAAUAGAUUCAAAUGCUAUAGUCCGACUAGAAAAAUACGUGUUAUAUAAAUUAUUACAAAUCAACAUACAUUAACAAAGAAAAUGAAGGAUUUGAUGCCGAAAGCAGUGACAUAAUCGUUAUCCAGUUAGAAAAUCUCGAAUAUAUAUGUACAAGAAAGGAAGAGAAGUAGAAUCUCUCCAUGUCCGGAGGUCUUAAGACUCCUUUUUCUCCUUUGAAUUUUUGUCUAUAAAUACACAAUCUGUUAGUCUGCUUCUACCACCACUGCUCAGUCACAGUCAGCUUUUUGUAUCCUUUGAAACUUUGUUAAAUCUGAUCAACCUUCUAUGGCGGAUGAGGUGGUGUUGUUGGAUUUCUGGGCAAGCCCAUUUGCGAUGAGGCUGAGGAUUGCACUGCCUGAGAAGGGCAUUGAGUACAAGCAUAAAGAUGAGGACUUGUGGAACAAAAGCCCACUGUUGCUGCAGAUGAACCCGAUUCACAAGAAGAUCCCG
rnacentral:lncRNA from 1 species